rnacentral:lncRNA from 1 species
UUUAAUUGCUCAAGUGUUGCUUAUCAAAUCAAAGAAGGAAAAUAAUGAAAAAAGAACACAAGUUGAUUAGCCAUAUUUUCACGAUGGAGAAACUGUAAGCCAUACCAAUAUUAUCAUUUUUAUAAUUUUUUCCAUUUAUAAUUUUUUCCAAAAUAAAAAUGUAAAAUAUUAUCUUAAUUUUAUCUAAUAUCUUAUCGUUAUUCUUUUAUUCAGAACAGUACUUGACAGCAAAAACAACACUAUUUGCUGCCAGUAGAGAGUAGAUACACCAUUAAGCAACAUUUAACACUUAGGAUAUGGGACUCCACAAGUCGAAGCAACCCUUUUAGCGUUAGGAUUGUCGACAUACUGUUUAAGAGCUGGGUUCUUAAUGUAUCCACAGAGGCAUGGCUGCUGUUCCUUCAGCCUGCUGCAACAACUGGUUGAUGGAGGCGAGGACGACGUGAGCGCCGACAUGCAGGGGAGAAGCUUCAUGGGAUUACAUGUCUUUGCCUCCGCCGUGCGAGUUUCACUUGAAAAUAUCACCACCGCCAGUGCCAGCACACACAAGGCAACAAAGGAAACUCAGGAAACUCUCAUCAUCUUUUUUUUUUUUUCUCCUACACAAGCUGCUAAUACAAAGAAAGCAAAGAAGUUAAAUGGUACUGGGUGCAUUUUGGGGUAUGAUUUGAGGCACAAUUUAUAGAAGUUGCGAUUGGUAACUCCUCAGAUGUUACAGUUUGCACCAUGAUUUACGGAUGUUAAACUCUCUAAGUAAUUUUGAUUAUUCUAUUAUACUCAUAUUUGAAAUUUAAUGUUUAGAUUUUUUAUAUAAUACAUUUGUCAUCAUUCGUUUUACAGUUUGAUCGUAAUUUUGUUUGGAUCGAAGGUGAUAUUUAGAUAAAGUUUUUCCAACAAUAUCAUUUAUAGGAUUUGAAUUUGAUACAAAUAUUUAAGAAAUAAGUCUACUUUCACUUUUUCCAACCACUCAUUGAUUAAUGUUUAUAUUUUAAUUUGAUAUUUUUAUUACAAUGACAUUUGUGGUUCAAAUUGUUAACAUUCUUAGUUAUUUUAAUUGAAAUGAUGAAAAUACAAAUAAUAUUAUGAAAAUACAAAAAUUAAAUUAUAUUAAAUUAAAAUAUAAAAAUUAAAUUUUAUAGUAAAAAAUCAUAAUCACAGUGUGACUUAAAACGAUGUAUGUUAAUACCAUAUUUUAUCAUUUGAUAUAAAAAAAUUAGUAUAUUAAAAAAAAAUAUUUGUAUUUAAAUUGAUUGGAGUAGUUUUAUGUUUAGCCCAAACGUAAGGAUAGAAUGUUUAGAAAAAAAAAUUUGGGUAAUGGGAAUUUGGUAAAAUGGUGGCACCUGUCUUAUUCUUGUAAAAGUAACCAGCAACGUUGCCAAGGAAUCGAAGUUGCUGGUUGUCGUCACUCGUCAUAGUCGACAAAACAAUAGGUUUGACCAAUAAAAAAGUCAGUUAUGGGUUUAAAAUUUGGUAUUUGUGUCAAGAUUAAAAUUUUAAAAUUCUAAAUUUAUCGGAUUAAUAAUGAUUUAAUUUGAGAAGAUUAAAUAAAUCUAAAAUUUAGGCAUCGUACAAGACUAAUAACAAAAUUUAACUAAACAAAUUUAAAUGCUACAGUUUAAUCAUGACUGAAAUUUCAAAAUUUGACAAGUACAAAACUAAAAUUGAUUAAUUCAAAAACUAAAAGGAAUAAAAUCGACCAUUCCUUUAAAGUAAAGUUCCUGUAGGACGAAAUGUCAUAAAUCAAGAUAAGUGAUCAUCUAACACAAGCCAAUGGAUGAUACUUAGAUAAUCCAAACAAAAAGAAUGUCCACAUUCUCAUCAAGGGCCCAAUGAUCUAGAGGAUGGGCAACACCAUUAACCGAACUACGAGCAUAAUAAAAAGAAACAAAAAUCAAACCACUCACACAAAGUACGGGCCUCCUCAAUGAUUUAACCAUCAAUAGACAAGUCCAAACUACUACUCUUAAGUUUGUGAAUCACUAAAAAAUCUAACUCAACAAUAGUGCCGCUGAAGUCCAAAUCCCUAGUCAUCAUAAGGAUGUUGUGUAACAGUCCGGUUUAGACCCUAGUGGAAUAGUGAUUUCGAGACCACGAAUCUGAGUCAGAAAAAUAUUUUAAUAUUAUUUUUGGUGUCUACAACAUGUUGAUUUAUAUGUAUAAAAAUUUCGUGUGAAAAUUUUAUCGUUUGUGUGCUCAAUUAAAAAAAAAAAAGAACUUAAUCGCGUAAAGUAUAAAAGUUGUGUUCUUAUAGUUAAAGGUGUCUAUUAGCUAUGGAGCCCUAAAGUGAAGGUUCUUAACUGGUAAUUAUCCCAUUUUUGAGAUAGUGGAUGAUAGUGGGAUGGCACAUGGUGUAAUUAUUAAUAUUAUUAAUGGUUAGUUAGGUAAAUUAGUAAAUAAUGUUAAAUUAAAAUAAAACAAAAUGUAUUGUCAUCUUCCACUAUUCAUCUUCACCAAAAAUUCAAGGAGAAGAAAGCCAUUGUUGGCUUUAACAUUCGGCCAAGCGCUCAUUGCUCAAAUAGGUACAGUUUUAGCUUCGUUUUUAAUGGUUUCUACGUUUUUGAGAUCGUUGCAGCUUAAUCUAGCUAGCCCGUAUCUCCGAUUUCAAAACUAUUAAAGUAUUUGAAUGUUGGCAUUGUUGAAUGCAUGAGUAUUUUGAUAGUUGAUGAUGGAAAAUAAAUAUUUGUUGAUAGAUUAAUAUGUUUAAUUAAAUGAUUUUUGAUAAAAAUGUGUAUUAAGGAUUAAAUUGUGAAAUUUGUAAAUUGAAGGGUCAAAUUAUGAAGUAAAUUGAGUAAAUGGGCUGCUAAGGACCGAAGGUAAAUUCGGCCUAACAUGGGUUUGUUGAAAUUUUGAGUAAUUUCUGUUAUUUUGAAAUAGGGACUAAAUUGUAAAAAUGUGAAAUGUUAGGGGCUAAAAUGCAAAAUACCCAAAUUAUGUAUUUUUGGAUAAAAUUGAAUUAAUAUGUUAUUAAACAAGCCAAAUUUGAAUUGAUUAGGUCAAGAAAAGAGGAGAUCAGAUUUGGAUCGGGGAAAAAUAAAAAAAAUUCGAAUAGUCGUCCGGUUCGUUCGUGUUCGUACGAGGUAAGUUCAUAAGUGAAUAAUUGUUGUUAAAUUCAUAUGAAAAUGUAUUUAAUUGUUCCGAGUUGAAUUUUAGUAACUAUAUAUGUGUAUGUCGAAUUAAUAUGAGUAUAGGAAAAGUAACUACGAGCCUGAAACGAACGAAUUAGGACGUCCGAAAGCCCCGUGCGAACCAUAGGAAUAGUUAGGAUACACAUGUCAUGACAUAGGAUUCCGAUAUGAGUUAUCGUGUGAGACCACGUCUGGGACGUUGGCAUCGAUUUGAGAUUUACGUGUAAGACCAUGUCUACGACGUCGACAUUGUAUACGAUUUCGUGUAAGACCCUGUCUGGGACAGUGGCAUCGAUAUUUGAUUACAUGUAAGGCCACGUCUGGGACGUUGGCAUUGUAAGAGCUUCCGAGCUAUCCGAGUAUCCUUAUUCAUUUCGAACGGUUCAACGGGCAAUAUCGAGAAAUGAAUGACUAUGUGAAAGUAUAUCCGAUUCAGGUACGUACGAAGUGUAUAUGAUAUUCAAGAAUGAAAAGUGAGAAUGUUUCAAAUGACGAUACGUGAAAUACAUAAUAAUGAAUGAAAUGAAUGCAUAUAAAUGAACGUUGUGAUACAUAUGCUCGUUAUAUGAAAUUGUAAUGAAAUAAGCUUAAUUAUAUUCAAUAGUUCGAGUACCAUGAAAUGGUGGUCCUAUGUUUCGAACAUAGGAUUUAUGAAAUAUGAAACAUCGUUUUGAGGUAUGCUAGUUUGGUUUGAAAGAUGAUUAGAUAAAUGUUAUUGAUAAGGUUAAAUUAUUAAAUAUGUUAUGUAUAUGUGAAAGAGGUAAAUAAACAUGUUUUGAUUUGUUGGUUAUGUGUUUUAUAUGAUCGAAUGUGAUAUAUAUUUGAAUGAAGAGUAUAUAUGGUUCGAACAGUGGAAUUAUGAAGCAUGUGUAAUAUGACUUUGAUGUAUGGUAGUUAAUUUGAAUUUUGAAUUGAUAAAUGAGAUUGAAAUGGUUGAGAUUUGCUAAAUUCGGCCUAGUUAAAGUGAAUUAUAAAUAUAAUUGAGAUGAUUUAUUUGCUUAUGGCUUACUAAGAUUUUAACGCUUACUCUGUGUGUUUUUCCUAUGUUUAUAGAGUUUCAGAGACUUGCUCAGAUUGGAAAUCAUAGGAGACCUCAUCACACUAUCCGGUUAUCGCUUCGGUAAAUAUAAGCUUUGAGUUUUUGGUUAUGUGGCAUGUAUAGGCUAGUUUUGAUAUGUUUGGUUUUGAAAUUUGUUUAUAUGUAUAUAGCCAUGCGAAAAUGGCUUGAUCAUGAUACUAAUGUUGGUAUAUAUAUUCGGUCAUGUUAUAAGCUUAAUUUGGAGGUAUGUUUCAUGUUAAGUAUGUUUGUGAUGUUGGUUAUAAGAUUCAACAAUGAGAAGUGUUAAUGAUCAUGCAUAGUAGUUGUGUUUUAAUGGGUUAAUAUGGAGUGUUUUUAAGAGAUAAUUGUGGAGAAGUUAUCAAAAUAAUAUUUUCUCCUUACAAGUUUUCUAAUUUCUUUUUUUUUCCUUUUCCCAACAAAUUUUGACUUCUUAUUUCUUCUAUUUCCUCUCUCUUUUCUUUUCUGUAUUAUUUUGUGAGUCAUCUCUUUGGGUGCAACUUUUGACUUCAUUUGUUUCGAUAAGUGGAAAUUUUUCCCUUAGUUAUAUCAUUUCGAUUAGGCAGUUAACAAAGGGUUCAUUUUACUUUCGUUUAGGUGCUGUUCAAAGGUUUUAAGUGGAUAUUCGGGUGUGUGGAGACGACUGGUUAUUGGAUUCGUCACGGUAAGUUUUUGAAUUGUCGUUGGUUUAGUUUCUCAAGUUUUAUGUUGGGGUAUUUGGUUGAUUGAUGAAUCAAGUGAUUAAUUAAGGGAUAUAUUGGUCAAAUAUAGGUUUUUGAAGGCUCGGGUUACUUUGCACAGUGAAUCGGUACCAGGUGUGUACUCGAAACGCAAAUAAUGAGAUUUGGUGAAAAGCCGAAAUUGCUUGCUGUCGAGAAAUAAGAGAAGUAAGAGAAAAUGAUAUGAAAAAUUGUAGAGAAAGGAAAUAACGGUGUUAUAAACUUGGAAAUCAACAUUCUGCACUAAAAUAGUUUUGGACAGCAGUAGUACUCUAAUUUUGAAAUAUCAUAAAAAAUAGUGGAAAUUGAGUUAGAGGUUGAAUAAAAUGUGAAAUUUAAAUUUAUUGAGUCUAGUUUUAGAUGGAAGAAACAAUGUAGGCAAUGAAAUUGUAAGUUACGAGAUAUAAUGAAUUUUGUGAGCCAAUGUCAGAAUGGUUUUAGGUUCCCCUGUUCUGACUUUGGAAAAUCUUCAAAAUUUGUAAAAAAAUAAUUAGGGCUUAAAUAUAUAUGUUUAAAUCCGUAAUGAGUCUACUUUCAAGAGAAACAAACGAAAACAUCAUCCAAAUUUCGUACUAAGAGACAAACAAUUUUUACUAAGGAAAGGUUGAAGCUAUCAAACAGUAGAAUAGGGAUAAAUUUGAAGAUUUUACUGUACUUAUUUGGUAAGCUAUAAAUUCUAAAAAUUUUAUGGUAGAAAGGUAUUUGAGUCUAGUUUGAAAAACAUCAAGCAGAUCUUAAUUUGGAAUUCUGUAACUCAAGUUAUAAAUAAUUUAGUGACAAUGACUCAAGUAGGCAACUCUGAAUGAUCAUAUUAGUAAAUAGUGGAAACAUAUAUGAAUAUUUAGCUAGCAUGGGUUACAUUCAAAAUGGAUCACACGACCAAUGCCAAUUUGGGCCGAGUGGGCCAAGCAGGCAUACACGAGCGUGUGGGUCCAUUUCUAUCGAAAUGAUUCUAUGGUUGCGUGAGUCGCCCUAGUCGACUGUGAACCAACUAUAAGGUCGGUAAGAGCUACUUAGGGCCCUAAAUGUGUGAAAUUGACUGAAUGAUAUUUGUACUAAGCAUGUUAAUAUCUGAACUGAAUGUAUGUACUGAAAUUGCAUAAUAGUAUAUCAUCCAUGGUAUGUUGCAUUACAUUGGGUUGGGGGUUGUUAUUUGGAGGAAGUGUACUGAAAGGCUUUAAGCCUAAUUUACUGGGAGCUCAGCUGCAAACUACUAUUUUGUGCCGCAUUCAGUACUACUUGGAGUGUAGGGAUGGGUGGGUUGAUUAUAUCCCCACACGAAGUGUAAGGUUGGACGGAUAUGGUGUGUAGAGGCUGGUUGGGUAGGAUUUUCCUAUUGCUUAACUGUUACUGCUACUGAUACUGUGAGGGGGUAAGGCCCUGUUGUAUUUUUGACACUGUACUGAGAUGGGCUAAGGCCCAAACUAUCACUGAUACUGAAAAGGGCUUAGGCCUAAGACGGUUCAACUGUGCAUUGUGAAUACUGAUUGAUUGUCUGUUUUUACAGGAUUACACACCGAGUUUACGUAAACUCACCCUUUUUUUUAAUGAGCACAGGUAAUCCCCAAACUUACACGGAUCGAUGCGAUGGAAGACCCAGCGGUGACUAUAGUAAUUUUUGGACUUCAUGGUUUUCAAUUACGAUUUAUGAUUUAGUUAUUAUUGAUUAUUUGGGUUGUAAUUUAAGGACCCUCUAGGACUUUGGCAUUAAAUUUUGAGUUUUUAUUUAUUUAUUUUACCUUAUGAAUUUAUACCUACUGGUCAUAGGAAAUUCGAUUUUCAAAAAGUUAAAGUAUUUUCUAAACGCAUGAUCACUUAAACCGUUUUAUUAAAGCUUCUGCAACGAGAGAUAUUUCAAAAAAAAUACUUUAAAUGAAUAAAGACGACUUCCUAAGUUCUAACAAAGGUUUACUAAAGAUAAUAACAUGGAAUGCUUUCAUCGUAAGAACGAGAUUUCAAAAACACGUUAGUGUGACAUUGCCAGAUACGGCCAUAACGUCUAGUCUGGAUUUGGGGUGUUACAUUUAGUGGUAUCAAAGCCAGGUUACAAAACUCAGCUGUGGAUUAUGGGUUUUAAAUUUUCUUUGAAAAAUUGGUUUUUAAAUGAUUUGAAAUAUUUCUACUGAGUAUGUGGUGUACCAAUUCUUCGGCGUUGUAAACGGAAAAAUAUAUAGGAUUUUUCCAUGUAAUUUAUCACCUUUUUACUUAAAUCCGAUGUUAAAACUAAGUAAUUGUUUAAUAAAUUAAUGAAAUAUGUGAAAAUAUGAAAUUAGGACAUAAAAAUUAUUAAAAUGUGAUUUUAUGCUUUAUUAUAUAGUUUUCAUGCAAUAAAUGGCUUAUUUUAUAUUAAUUUGAAUAUAUUAUAUUUUUAAGACAUAAAGUGGGCCAUGCAUGAUUAAAUUAAAUAAUAAAAUAUAAAAUUAUAUUUAAUAAUUCAUUUUAAAAUAUUUCAUUAAUAAUUUGGGUUUUUAAUUAAUUAAUUAAAUUGGAUAAAUUUUAUUCUUUGGUCCUCUAACUUGUUGAUUUAUUCUAGACAGGUUUGAUAGCUUUGUUGGAUUACAAAAUCGUCCAAAUUAAAGACGAAGUCAACCCCAAAAUUCGCCUGCACAUGGCUGUCCAUAAACCACUCUUUAGUUUAAUUGCACAAGGUCCUUGAAGAGUUGAAGAAAUUAGAGAUUUACCUGAAGAUUUGCACUUGACCGAGUCUCAGUCCUGAGUUAUUGUGGCACUUAAAUUUACCAAAAAUCAAGGAAAAUCAGCUCAACUUGCUUAAUUUAUGGCCGAACACCCAUGGAAGAUGCUUCAAAAGAUGAAAACUCCUAUUUUUAGAAAACUAUCCCCCUCUCCUCACCUAUAAAUAAGACCCUCUCAUUCCUUCAUUCAUCUUCCCUCAAGCAUCAUUCUCUCUUUUCUCCAAAUUCUCUUAGCAUUUUCCAUUCCCACGCCUAGCAUCAUCUCUUCAUAGAGAUUUUAGCAAUUAAGCCUCUUAAAGAACCCUUGGUCGGCCACCUUGGAAAGCCAUCAACAAAGGAGCAAAGCAGAGGAACGAGGAGUUUCAUCAAUCAGAGUCUUGGGUGACAACCACUCUGAAUUGGUUUUAAUCUUCCUUUUCUUUAAUUUAAUAUGAAGAUGUUUGCUAUGUGUUCUUUGUUCUAGUUUACAACAAUGUUAGCUUAAUUGUAUUUAAGCAAAGAUGAUUGCUUUGAUUAAAUAAUAUUUAUUUGAUUCAUGCUUAUAAUGUCUGUGCCUCAAUCGACCAUGUUUUCAAUUAAAAUCAAGUUUGUAUUUCGUUCAUACCUGAUUGAAAUGCACCUAAAUUAGUUGAGCGAUCCUGACCAGAUGUUGGCUGAUGGACACAUAAUUGAAAUGUGCAUACUCAAUUUAGAUCAUGACCCGAUUAAAUUGAAGGUUGCAUAACAACUCUGACCAAGCUUUGUUAUCUGUAGAGUUUUUAGAAUUUUGUGAUUAAAUUAUUUCAAACCUAACACGUCCCUGUUACCUCACACGAAUGGUAAGAAACCCUUAGUAAAAAGGAUCAGUAAAAUGCGUAUUUACUAAGUAAAGGAUUGAGUUGCCAUGGAAUGUUUUUUCGAAUGUUAAGAAACCCUUAGUAAAUAAGGAUCAGUAAAACCCUAAUGUGGUUUCCAAACUCAUAUGAAAGAUUGAGUUGCCAUGGAAUGUUUUUUCGAAUGUUAUUAAGCAUGUUGAUAAUAAAUUGAGUUUGAUUAAAGCAAUUAUCCUAGUUUAUUUAUGUUAUAAUUGUUGCAAAUUGUGUUUAAUUUUACUAAAAUCUAUUUCAUUCAUAUAAUUUGUAUACUUAGGAUAAUUUGCAUUAGGGAUCAUUGCAUUUAGUUUAAUAUAUUUUAAUCACCACUUCUCAACUAUAUUGUGCUUUUAUUUACCGAAUUGUUAAUAUAACUUUACAAAUUAAGUGACUUAGCACAAAUACAAUCCCUAUGGAGAUGAUAACUCGAUACUUACUUAUUACUUGAUAAUGACUCUGUACACUUGCACAAACCUACGCGUUACAGGUGCCGAUCCUGUAAGUGUUCUAAAACUGAUACAUGGUAUGAUAUUCUAGAACUGAUAUAUGUUAUGAUAUUCUGAAACUACUAUAGGUAGUAUACUAUGAAAAACUAUAGAUAGCGUAUAUUGAGACAAUGGCAAAACUGAUAGAGACUUCGAUUUACGAAAAUCACUCUGAAUUACUGAAACUGUCUACAUAAAACAUUUGUUAGUAAAUACUGAAACUAAAACUGAUGCAUAAAAAUUUGUAAUACAGAUAAAUUUAAAUAGACAUGAGUGCACGAGGUAUACGUGGACAUGGUACUCGAGACCGAGGUAGAGGCCGUAGGGGGGUUCGAUCUAAGUCACCUUCCCUAGGUAAUAUACUGAAUUUGGACACGAGUGAGAUGCCAGUGUCACCUGCUACUGAGACUGAGUCUUAUGAUCGCAUGGCUGGGGAUGACGCAUUGUACCAGGCUAUGUUGAGGAUAUUAGAGAGGGUCGUUGGGCCUAAUAUUGGAUCUAGGGGCCGUGGGUCAAUUACGGAACGACUCUGGUUCAAUAGAGCUGAGCUCUUCAGGGGUGUCACUGAGGUCGCCCCUAAUGUGGCCGAGUACUAGAUUAAGGCCACAAAGAAGGUCAUGGAUGACCUGGAUUGCACCUCCGAGCAAAAUUUAAAGGGUGCAGUCUCACUGUUGCAUGAUGAGGCUUAUCAAUGGUGGCUUACUGUUAAGGAGGGCACUCAUCCCGAACGUCUGACCUAGUAGUUCUUUAAGACCGCCUUCUAGGAGAAAAAUGUGGGAGCUAGUUAUGUGGACGCCCAUAGAAGGGAGUUCAUGAAUCUAACACAGGGAGAUUGAUUAGUGGCCGAGUAUGAGACCGAAUUCCUGCGACUGAGCUGCUAUGCACAAGGUAUGGUGGUGACUGAGUAUAAGCGUCCUAUCCGCUUAAAUGAUGGCCCGAGAGAUAAUUUGAGAGUCUUGAUAGCUCCGCAGAGGGAGUGUGAUUUUUCUUUACUGGUUGAGAAGGUAAAGAUCGCCAAGAAGGUUAAGCGCGCUGAGCGCCAAAACUGUGAUAGGGAGAGAGGUAGAAACAAGAGAGAUUCGAAGCCCUUGAGUUAUAUGCAGAUGCCUAAGAAAAAGAGCAGAGCUGAUGGGCCAGUCAAAGCUGGGCCCCCUGUUACCGCUAUUGGACUGCAGCCAUGUGUCGACUAUGGAAGACGCCAUUAGGGCGAGUGUUGGAGAAGGACUGGGGCAUGCUUGCGGUGUAGGUCAUUGGAGCACCGUAUUAGGGAGUGUCCGCUGAAGGCUGAUCGGAUACAAGCUCCAGAUACUGGUACGACACAGCCACAAAGGGUAGUGCAGCAACCACUGAGGGGCCAUGGAUAGGCCAGGGGUUGUAAUGUUAUGGGUCGUGGGAAGAGAGCACCGGGCAGAGGUGCUGGACAGGUUGAGGCGAGACAGCCGACCUUAGUUUAUGCUGCUCUUUGCCGAGAGGAUGGAAAUGCUCCAAACAUCAUUACGGGUACAUUUUAUUCUUGAUGUACCAUAUAUUGCAUUGAUAGACAUAGGUCUACUCACUCAUACAUAGCUAGCAACAUAUCUGGAAAUUUGGGGAUUCCGGUUGAGAGUACUUCUAGUUUGGUGACUGUGCUGAGCCUGCUGGGGCAACCUGUUAGAGUUAGCAAACUGUACAGAGAUGUUUCAUUAGAGGUUCAAAGGACGGUAUUUUUAGCUGAUUGGAUAGAGCUUCAAUAACGUGAUCUCUGCACUGGUAGCUGAGAAACUGGUUCGCAAGGGAUGUAAGGCGUAUUUGGCCUACAUAAGUUUUUUCGCUUCUAGGGACUCUAUUGUGAAGGACAUUAGAACUGUGAGAGAUUUUUUGAACUUCUUUCCUUAUGAGUUAUCAGGUUUACCUCCGAUUCGAGAAGUGGAGUUUGGGAUUGGGCUUUUCCCUGGUACAGCUUCGGUGUCUAUCGCUCCCUAUUGAAUGACACCUAAAGAUUUUAUAGAGCUUAAGGCUCAAAUUCAGGAGUUAUUGGAUCAUGGGUUCAUCUGUCCUAGUGUAUCCCCGUAGGGAGCAUCAGUACUGUUUGUUAAGAAUAAGAAUGGAUCCAUCAGGAUGUGCAUCGACUACCGACAACUAAAUAAGUUGACUAUUAAGAAUAAGUAUCCACUUCCGAGGAUUGAUGAUUUUUUUGACCAGUUUCAGAGGGCGUCUGUGUUUUCUAAAAUUGACUUGCAUUCUGGGUAUCAUCAGUUGAGGGUUAAGGAGGCUGAUGUGCAUAAGACGACAUUUAGGACUCAUUAUGGCCACUACAAGUUCCUAGUGAUGCCAUUUGGACUGACUAAUACACCGACAGCUUUUAUAGAUCUGAUGAACUGAGUGUUUCAACCCUACCUAGAUCAGUUUGUAGUGGUGUUCAUCGAUGACAUAUUAGUUUAUUCGAGGACUGGGGAUGAGCAUGACGAGCACCUUAGGUUUGUUCUUCAAAACUUGAGGGAAAAUCAGCUCUAUGCUAAGUUCAGCAGGUGCGAGUUCUGGUUACGUGAAGGCAGGUGCGAGUUCUGGUUACGUGAAGUAACAUUUCUGGGUCAUGUAGCGUCUGCUGAGUGGAUUCGAGUCGAUCCUCGAAAAAUUGAGGCUGUAUUGGAUUGGAAGCAGCCUAAGAAUGUGUCUGAGAUCCGCAGCUUUUUGAUGUUGGUCGGUUAUUACCGACUGUUUGUGGAAGGAUUUUCAUUGAUCGCAGAACCAUUGAUUAAGUUGCUACGUAAAGGUGUACUGUUUGACUAGACUAAUGCGCUGCAAGAGAGCUUUGAGUUGCUUAACACUGUAGUGACUGAGGCUCCAGUUUUGGUACAGCCGGAGCCUGGAAAGGAGUUCACAGUUUAUAGUGAUGCAUCACAUGUUGAUUUGGGAUGUGUGUUGAUGCAGGAUGGUAAGGUGGUUGCAUAUGUGUCUCGUUAGCUUAAGACACAUGAGACGAACUAUCUGACACACGAUUUAGAGUUGGCCGCCGUAGUAUUUGCAUUGAAAAUCUACAGGAAUUAUCUAUAAUGUGAGAAGUGUAUUAUCUACACUGAUCACAAAAGCCUCAAGUAUGUCCUUACUCAGAAGGAGUUUAAUCUAAGGCAACGAAGAUGGGUGAGCUGCUUAAGGAUUACGACUGUACCAUUGAGUACCAUCUUGGCAAGGCCAAUGUGGUGGCUGAUGCAUUGAGCCAUAGGGCUAUGACCGAUCUGAAAGCGAUGUUCGCUCAACUUAGCCUAUUCGAUACUAGAAGUCUAUUGGCAAAACUUCAAGUCAAACCGAAAUAGAUUGAAUAGAUUUGAGGUAAAUAGUUGGGGCAUAGGUCUCACAGGUUUCAUUUUCGUCAGGUUGAGAAUGGUUGCACUAUUGACUUUGGGAUAAACAGUGAUAGGGUACUUUGUUUCCGCGGUCGGAUUUGUGUACUGAAUGAUGAGGAUUUAAGGCAGUCGAUUUUGAGAGAGGCGCAUGGUAGUCCCUAUGCUAUGCAUUCCGGUGGGAACAACAUGUACCGAGAUCUUCGGGAAUUGUACUAGCGGCCAAGGUUGAAGCGUGAGGUUAUUGACUUUAGAAAUUAGCUAAGCUCUAUAUAUAAAAUAUAGUGAGGCUUCAUGGGGUACCUGUUUCGAUCAUUUCUGAUAGGGAUCCUCGUUUCACGUCUCGGUUCUGGAAGAAGCUUGAUAAGACUCUGGUUUCAAGAUUAGACUUUAGUACUACUUUCCAUCCUCAAACAGAUGGUCAGUCGGAGAGGGUGAUUCAGAUACUGGAGGACAUGUGGAGGAGCUGUGUUAUUGAUUUCUGAGGCAGUUGAGAGGAAUACUUGUCAUUAGCGGAGUUUGCCUACAAUAAUAGGUUCCAGUCUCGCAUCCAGAUGGUGCCUUACGGGGCACUGUACGGUCGUAAGUGUCGCACUCCUUUAUGUUGGACUAAGACGUGUUCUGAGUCUUGAGUUGGUCUUUGAGACAGAGGAUAAUGUUAGAUUGAUUCGGGAUCGUUUGAAAGCGACUUUUGACAGGAAAAAUCUUAUGCGGAUUUGAAGAUGCGUGAGAUUGAGUAUUCUGUGGGGGACUUAGUUUUUCUCAAGGUCUCGCCAUGGAAUAACGUUCUGAGGUUCGGUCGCAAGGGCAAGCUGAGCCCUCGGUUUAUUAGACAUUACCGUAUUCUGAAAUGCGUGGGACCUAUCGCUUAUCAGUUGGAGUUACCUCCAAAACUGGACCAUAUUCAUGAUGUAUUUCACGUCUCGAUGUUGAGGCGCUAUCACUUUGAUCCCACGCAUGUUGUUUCUGCUAAGGAGAUUGAGGUUAGGGCAAACUUGAGAUUCUAGAGCGUGAUGUAAAGGUCAUUCAGAAAAAUUCUAUUCCCUUAGUAAAGGUUCUGUGGCGUAAUCAUAACACUGAGGAGGCCACGUGGGAGCCUGAGGAUGCGAUGUGUCAGCAGUAUCCUCACCUAUUCUGAUCAGGUAAAUUUUGAAGUCGAAAUUUUCUUUUAGGGGGUAGAAUUGGAGCGUCCCAAAAUUUCUAAUUUCAUUAUUCUAAAAAUAUGAUACAAAUAUCUAUUAGCUUUAGUGGUUCUGAGUUCUGGGAGUGUUUGGGAGGUCUCAAGUUCAAGCCUUCACUUAGGAAAAAUUUGGUAUUAUGAAUGAAUUAGGCCUUACUCUUGUUCAGUAGGCUUUUAUUUGAUUGUUGGUAAAAAGUUAUAAGAAUGGGCCUGCAGGUCUGGUGGUUAAGCGGAGUGGUAAUGUGUAGGAGGUCCUGUGUUCGAGUCCCUGCGCAAGUAGGGGAAUUAAUUUUUGUUUGAGGCGUGUAGCAUGGUGGAGUUCAAAUUAAACUGGAUUGUUGAGUAGUUUUGUUUGAGAGGAUUAGUAGGGAGUGUUUUUAGGAAAUAAUUGGGGAGAAGUUAUCAAAAUAAGAUUUUCUCUUUAUCAGUUUUCUAUUUUUUUCUUUUCCCACCAAAUUUUCUGACGUUAGACUUUUGUUUCUCUACCGUGUUUUCUCCCUUUUUGUUCACUUUUGGUUUUUGUUCUCCUUUGGCCCAAUCUUGUUUCUUCUCUUUCCCCCAUCUUUUCGUUUUUGUAUAUUUUUUGCGAGUCAUCUCUUUAGGUGCAACUUUCGACUUCAUCUGUUUCAAUAAGUGGAAUUUUUCCCUUUAGUUAUCGCAUUUCGAUUAGGCAGUUAACAAAGGGUUCGUUUUACUCUCGUUUAGGUGCUGUUCAAAGGUUGUAAUUGGAUAUUCCAGUGUGUGGAGACGAUUGGUUAUCAGAUUCGUCGCGGUAAGUUUUUGAAUCGUUGUUGGUUUAGUUUCUCGAGUUUUAUGUUGGGGAUAUUUGGUUGGUUGACGAAUCAAGUGAUUAAUUAAGGGAUAUAUUGCUUGCUGUCGAGAAAUAAGAGAAAUAAGAGAAAAUGAUAGGAAAAGUUGUUGAGGAAGGAAAUAAGGGUAUUAUAAACUUGGAAAUCAACAUUCUGCACUAAAAUAGUUUUGGACAGCAAGAGUAGUCUAAUUUUGAAAAAUCAUCAAAAAUAGUGUAAAUUGAGUUAGAGGUUGCAUAAAAUAUAAAAUUAAAGUUUAUUGAGUCUAGUUUUCCAUGGAAGAAACAAUGUAGGCAAUGAAAUUGUAAGUUAUGAAAUAUAAUGAAUUUUGUGAGACAAGGUCAGAAUGGUUUCGGGUUCCCCUGUUCUGACUUUGGAAAAUCAUCAAACUUUGUAAAAAAAUAAUUAGGGGCUUAAAUAUAUACGUUUAAAUCCUUAAUGAGUCUAUUUUCAGGAGAAACAAAUGGAAACAUCAUCAAAAUUUCGUACUAAGAGACAUAAUUUUUAAUAAGAAAAGGGUGAAGCUGUCAAACAGCAGAAUAGGGAUAACUUUGAAGAUUUUACUGUACUUAUUUGGUAAGCUACAAAUUUUUAAAAUUUUAUAGUAGGAGUCUAGUUUCAAAAACAUCAAGGGGAUCUUAAUUUGGAAUUCUGUAGCUUAAGUUAUAAAUAAUUUAGUGACAAUGACUCAAGUAGACAGCUUUGAAUGAUCAUAUUAGGAAAUAGUGGAAACAUAUAUGGGUAUUUAGCUAGAAUAGAUUACAUUAAAAAUGGAUAACACUGCCAAGGCCAAUUUGGGCCGAGUGGGGCACGUGAGCACACACGAGCGUGUCGGCCCAUUUUUACUGAAAUGUUUCUAAGGUUGCACAGGUCGCCCAAGUCGACUGUGAACCUACUGUAAGGUCGGUAAGCACUACUUAGACCCUUAAAUGUGUGAAAUUGACUGAAUGAUAUUUGUACUGAGCAUGUUAAUAGCUGAACUGAAUGUAUGUACUGAAAUUGCAUAAUAGCAUAUCAUCCAUGGUAUGUUGCAUUACAUUGGGUUGGGGGUUGUUAUUUGGAGGAAGUGUACUGAAAGGCUUUAAGCCUAAUUUACUGGGAGCUCAGCUGCAAACUACUAUUUUGUGCCGCAUUCAGUACUACUUGAAGUGUAUGGAUGGGUGAGUUGAUUAUAUCCCCACGCGGAGUGUAAGGUUGGACGGAUAUGGUGUGUAGAGGCUGGUUGGGUAUGAUUUUCCUAUUGCUUAACUGUUACUGCUACUGAUACUGUGAUGGGCUAAGGCCUUGUUGUAUUUUUGACACUGUACUAAGAUGGGCUAAGGCCCAAACUAUCACUGAUACUGAAAAGGGCUUAGGCCCAAGACGGUUAACUGUGCACUGUGAAUACUGAUUGAUUUUUUAUUUCCGCGGGAUUACACACUGAGUUUACGUAAACUCACCCUUUUUGUUUAAUGUGCAUAGGUAAUCCCAGACUUAGAUGGGUAGGUGCGACGGAGGACUCAACGGUGACCACAGUAAUUUUUGGACUUUAUGGUUUUCAAUUACGUUUUAUGAUUUGAUUAUUAUUGAUCAUUUGAGUUGUAAUUUAAGGACCUUCUGUGACUUUGGUUUUAAAUUUUGGGUUUUUAUUUAUUUGUUUAUUUUACUUUAUGGAUUUAUACCUGCUGGUCGUAGGAAAUUCGAUUUUCAAAAAGUUAAAGUAUUUUCUAAACGAAUGAUCACGUAGGCUGUUUUAUUAAAAAUUCCGCAAUGAGGGAUGUUUCAAAACAAAUGUUUUAAAUGAAUAAAGAUGACUUCCUAAGUUCUAACAAAGGUUUAUUAUAGAUAAUAACUUGGAUUGUUUUCAUCGUAACAACGAGGUUUCAAAAACACUAUUGUGUGACAUUGCCAGAUACGACCAUAACGUCUAGGUUGGGUUUAGGGUGUUACACAAUUUGGCAUUAAAACACUUACCCGAGGAUGAAAUCAGCAACCUCACAAUCUUAAUUCACUAAAGGGUUAAUCACCUCGCGAUUUUCACCUAAAACAAAACUCGCACAAUUAAAGAUACGAAACACCGCUACACAUAAAUCCCCCACUUUACAAAAAAAGUAUUAGAAAUUCCCGAAAGUUGAAACCAAAAAAAAAUUAGAUACUUACCCAAGAAUCGAGUUGCAAUCUCUUUAAUCAAACACUUCAUUUUUAAAUUUAACGACACAAGGAUCAAUAAACAAGAAAGCAACGAAAAUUAGGAGACGAAAGAUGAAGAAAGAAUAAAGUUUGAGAAAUUCUCUUUCGUUACUGGAAACUAACAUGAAACAAACAAAUAAGAGAAAUUGGGAGAAACAUGGAAUAUGUGAAUAAUGGGGAAACAUAUUUGGGGAAAUAUUUUUUUAAAAAUAAUAAUAAAAUAAAAAUACAUCCAAACUAACCAGACCCACUAAUCUAAUCCCCAUCUAAUAGAUUUUCUAGAGUUCGAUUAAAACCCAAAUUCCCCAAGAUGCACGACAACAAGAAAAAUUAACAAAAAUAUUCCCACUUCCAUAGGCAAGGAUUCAAACAUAAGACCAAAGGAUAAAUUGAAGCCUUACCAUUGAACCAGUAAGCUCAUUCUUGUCAAAAUUUGAGCUAGAAUUAAAUUUAUGCCAGAUACUGAAAAUAUGAAUUGGGGCUAAAAUAACAAAAAAUUCAAGAAACAUGAUUCGAAACCAAAACCUCUUACAUACAAACAUAACACUUACCCACGAAACCAAAUUAAUUAACUUAACAAAAAAUUUCACAAUUUGAACUCAAAAUCAGAACAUGACCCCUUUUGAUUCCAACAAUCCAAUUUCUUCUAACCCAAUUUUUGGGAUGUGACAAGUUUAUUUAGCAAGUAAUGAAUUUCCACCAAAGAAGCUUUAUAAGAUCAUAUCUAGCCAUAAUAUACCAAAAUGACCUACAUUUAACAAACUAAAACAUGAUCAAACCUUCCAACAAGUUAAUAACCAAUACUCUUCAACCUAACGAAGUUACACAAGUAAACAAACUCUUAUUAUCAUGCAUUAUAAUGCAUAACUCAAGCAUUGAAAAUUCGUCACAGAGAACUUUAUAGGUUCGUUACUAAUCAAGCAUACGACAACAACCAAAAUAGCAUUAAAUCAAAAGACUUAACCUAGGUACAUGCCAUUAACUAACUAUAUGGGCAAAGAGUGCAAAAUUAGAAUGAGUUAAGCUACUUAGUCUGGGAUACUUGUCGAACCUUCAAUCUAUUAGAGAACCUAAUUAGAACUUGUGCAUGGAAACAAACAAAUUCGUAUGCAAAGUAAUGUAUACUUAGUGGUGCUAUCAUAAUUUAAAAUCCAAACAAGUUAAAGUUAAAUUAAAAGCAUAAUUGAAAUAUAACAAUUUAUAAAGUAACAAACUUUACAUAAUUUACAUUCUUUACAUAAUAAUCACAUUAUUCAUUUGCCAAAACACCCUCAAGGUAUUCGCAAGACAUACUUGAAUAUAAGAAUUUUAGAUGCACCCUUAGGGUAUUGGCGUCUCAUUUAACAUAAUAUAGGUCAAUUUCAAUUUCAGUACUUUAAACAUAAUCAAUGAUCAUUUAUAAUUCACAUUCAUUUUAUUUUCUUAACCCUCAUUAGCUAACUUGGAUUUGAGAACAGAUACACAGAUCAACCCACCAACACACCAGUACACACACUGAAGUGCUAAUCGGGCAUAAAUGCACUGAUCCCACCAACCAUACCAAAAUACACAUGUACCUUAGGGUAUUUGAGCUGGUGAUAUGUUCUUGACUCAAAGGGCAUUAGAGAAUUGUCACUUAAUGAUACAUGCUCAGCGCUAGAUCUCCCACCUACAAAAGGAACCUAAUGGCAUGCCAACUAUACUUGUAACUCUAUUUGAUGCUGAUAAUAGGACAUUAUCCGUUAUCAACCAUCACUCAAAUAUAUAAUGAUCAAGAUAUCAUAGCAUUAUUAUAUUGUAAUACAAUAUUAACACAUGUACAUAUACAUAUUUCAAACGUAACCCAAUCGACUCAAUUGAUCAAAUUUAUUCAUACAUCGAAUUAUUCUCUAGACUAGUAUUAUUUGAUUAUAAUUAAUUACCUAUUUAAGCAUAAAUUGAAAUGAAAGUAUGUAAGCAUAAACUGGAAUAACUAUUCGCGGAUGGCCUUUUCUUUUCCUUUAUCUUUGGACGUCCCAGUGUCCUCUUUAGCUACGUUUGAUAAUCGAUUAUGGAAAUUCGUUAGUACACAAUUGAAAAAGGCACAACUAACAGUUUAAGCAUGAAUGUAUGUUUUAAAAUUAGGUCUCUUCUUAACCCUAAGGUCCGACAUGCUCGUAUCUUUAGGUUUUCCUGAUCGAAUCUAAAUUCAACUUUGUAUAUAUACUACAAGAACCUCAACUUCCAAUCUAUAACAUAAACUUUCAAUAAUUUUUAUUUUAUUCAAUUUGAUCCUUAAUGUUUCAACAAUAUCUUCAAGUGUUUAAGCUUAAAUCAAACUUAUUCUUACAUCACCUAUUUCCUUACUAGCAUAGUUCUCACAUGCACCAAAUAAUUAACAACUAAAAUUUCAUAGUUUCAAUUUAAUUUCACAAUGUUCCGUACAAUGGUAACUUAAAUGACCUCAUAUAAUAUUAACAUUUAAACAAUGGGUUAAUUAGAACUAGUUUCCUACUAGACAAAUCUAUGAAAUUUAAGAAGAAAAAUACAUGUUUACCUUGUUAAUUUGUUGGCUGAUUAUAAAGGGUGAAGCUUUGCCUAUUUCUUCUCUUUAAAUUCGGUUUAUGAAGAAGAAGAUGAUGAAGACAUGUUUUCUCUCUGUCCCUCUUAACAUGCAUAUAUAUAUAAUAAUUAACUCACUCAUUAAUCGUUAGGUUAAGUUAAUUAAACCAUGACCCUAAGGCCAUUAAUCCGUUUCUUAAUCUUUAGUGGAAAUAGAUGGUGAUGAUACUUCUUGAGCCCGAGGAAGAAGACAGUGAUGGAAAUAGACAUCGGCUUUUGCGCAUUCAAGUAUAUCGAGGAUGAUGCUCAAAUUCAAUACAUGUUCAAAGAGCAAUUCUAAACUAAACCUUAAUAGUAAGGUAAAACUCUUGAAAACUUUGAGGUUUUAUUAUUUAUGGAUUAUUUUCAAAUAAUUAAAAAAAAAGUAUUAAGAGUAUUAGAAAGAAAAAGGCAUCAGCCCCCAACAAUUCUAUGAUUGUCUUCUUUUUUUUCCUUCAAGUUCAACAGUAGUAUAGGCUCAAAUUCAGUUGAUGUGUACUAGCGAUAAUGUGAACGCUAAACUCAGCACUCCAGACUUUUCUCCCCAAGACUUGACAUUGACUCAUCAAUUGGGUCAGGAAGAAAUGACAAUUUCAAUGGAAAUAAAGCGGGUGAAUAUUUUAAGUAGCUUAUUUUGUUUGGACAUAUAAAAUAAGUACCCUACAUGUUUUGGCUAAACAUCGGCUUUUGCAUUAGUGUUGGCUUUUUUAAACUUCUAUGAAUUGCAUUAGAAGAAAAAACACUGUCCAUGAACUCACGACAAAUUUAAUUGUUCAAGUGUUGCUUAUCAAAUCAAAGAAGGAAAAUAAUGAAAAAAGAACACAAGUUGAUUAGCCAUAUUUUCACGAUGGAGAAACUGUAAGCCAUACCAAUAUUAUCAUUUUUAUAAUUUCUUCCAAAAUAAAAAUUUAAAAUAUUAUCUUAAUUUUAUCUAAUAUCUUAUCGUUAUUCUUUUAUUCAGAACAGUACUUGACAGCAAAAACAACACUUAUUUGCUGCCAGUAGAUAGUAGAUACACCAUUAAGCAACAUUUAACACUUACAAUAUGGGACUCCACAAGUCGAAGCAACCCUUUUAGCGUUAGGAUUGUCGACAUACUGUUUAAGAGCUGGGUUCUUAAUGUAUCCACAGAGGCAUGGCUGCUGUUCCUUCAGCCUGCUGCAACAACUGGUUGAUGGAGGCGAGGACGACGUGAGCGCCGACAUGCAGGGGAGAAGCUUCAUGGGAUUACAUGUCUUUGCCUCCGCCGUGCGAGUUUCACUUGAAAAUAUCACCACCGCCAGUGCCACCACACACAAGGCAACAAAGGAAACUCUCAUCAUCUUUUUUUUUUUCUCCUACACAAGCUGCUAAUACAAAGAAAGCAAAGAAAUUAAAUGGUAAUGGGUGCAUUUUGGGGUAUGAUUUGAGGCACAAUUUAUAGAAGUUGCGAUUGGUAACUCCUCAGAUGUUACAGUUUGCACCAUGAUUUACGGAUGUUAAACUCUCUAAGUAAUUUUAAUUAUUCUAUUAUACUCAUAUUUGAAAUUUAAUGUUUAGAUUUUUUAUAUAAUACACUUGUCAUCAUUCGUUUUAUAGUUUGAUCCUAAUUUUGUUUGGAUCGAAGGUGAUAUUUAGAUAAAGUUUUUCCAACAAUAUCAUUUAUAGGAUUCAAAUUUGAUAUAAAUAUUUAAGAAAUAAGUCUACUUUCACUUUUUCCAACCACUCAUUGAUUAAUGUUUAUAUUUUAAUUUGAUAUUUUUAUUACAAUGACAUUUUUCGGUUCAAAUUGUUAACAUUCUUAAUUAUUUUAAUUGAAAUGAUGCCGUUAAUUUAAAAAAAACUCAUUUUUAGUAAAAAAAAAGUAUUUUAGCAUGAUUAAUUUAGAAUAGAUAUUUUUAAGAAAAAAUUUGACUUUAGUAUUUUAAUUAGAAUAAUUAAAGUUAUUAACUAUUUAAACUAAAAAAUACAAAAAUUAAAUUAUAUUAAAUUAAAAUAUAAAAAUUAAAUUUUAUAGUAAAAAAUCAUUAUCACAGUGUGACUUAAAACGAUGUAUGUUAAUACCAUAUUUUAUCAUUUGAUAUAAAAAAAAUUAGUAUAUUUAAAAAAAAUAUUUGUAUUUAAAUUGAUUGGAGUAGUUUUAUGUUUAGCCCAAACGUAAGGAUAGAAUGUUUAGAAAAAAAAUUUGGGUAAUGGGAAUUUGGUAAAAUGGUGGCACCUGUCUUAGUCUUGUAAAAGUAACCAGCAACGUUGCCAAGGAAUCGAAGUUACUGGUUGUCGUCACUCGUCAUAGUCGACAAAACAAUAGGUUUAAUAAAAAAGUCAGUUAUGGGUUUAAAAUUUGGUAUUUGUGUCCAGAUUAAAAUUUUAAAAUUCUAAAUUUAUAGGAUUAAUAAUGAUUUAAUUUGAGAAGAUUAAAUAAAUCUAAAAUUUAGGCAUCGUACAAGACUAAUUACAAAAUUUAACUAAACAGAUUUAAAUGCUACAGUUUAAUCAGGACGGAAAUUUUAAAUUUUGACAAGUACAAAAACUAAAAUUGAUUAAUUCAAAAACUAAAAGGAAUAAAAUCGACCAUUCCUUUAAAGUAAAGUUCCUGUAGGACGAAAUGUCAUAAAUCAAGAUAAGAGAUCAUCUAACACAAGCCAAUGGAUGAUACUCAGAUAAUCCAAACAAAAAGAAUGUCCACAUUCUCAUCAAGGGCCCAAUGAUCUAGAGGAUGGGCAACACCAUUAACCGAACUACCAGCAUAAUAAAAAGAAACAAAAAUCAAACCACUCACACAAAGUACGGGCCUCCUCAAUGAUUUAACCAUCAAUAGACAAGUCCAAACUACUACUCUUAAGUUUGUGAAUCACUAAAAAAUCUAACUCAACAAUAAUGCCGCUGAAGUCCAAAUCCCUAGUCAUCAUAAGGAUGUUGUGUAACAGCCCGGUUUAGACCCUAGUCGGAUAGUGAUUUCGAGACCACGAAUCCUAGUCAGAAAAAUAUUUUAAUAUUAUUUUUGGUGUCUACAACAUGUUGAUUUAUAUGUGUAAAAAUUUCGUGUGAAAAUUUUAUCAUUUGUGUGCUCAAUUUUAAAAAAGGACUUAAUCCCGUAAAGUGUAAAAGUUGUGUUCUUAUAGUUAAAGGUGUCUAUUAGCUAUGGAACCUUAAAGUGAAGGUCCUUAACUGGUAAUUAUCCCAUUUUUGAGAUAGUGGAUGAUAGUGGGAUGACACAUGGUGUAAUUAUUAAUAUUAUUAAUGGUUAGUUAGGUAAAUUAGUAAAUAAUGUUAAAUUAAAAUAAAACAAAAGGUAUUGUCAUCUUCCACUAUUCAUCUUCACCAAAAAUUCAAGGAGAAGAAAGCCAUUGUUGGCUUUAACAUUCGGCCAAGCUCUCAUUGCUCAAAUAGGUACGGUUUUAGCUUCGUUUUUAAUGAUUUCUACGUUUUUGAGAUCGUUGCAGCUUAAUCUAGCUAGCCCGUAUCUCCGAUUUCAAAACUGUUAAAGUAUUUGAAAGUUUCCAUUGUUGAAUGCAUGAGUAUUUUGAUAGUUGAUGAUGGAAAAUAAAUAUUUGUUGAUAGAUUAAUAUGUUUAAUUAAAUGAUUUUUGAUAAAAAUGUGUAUUAAGGAUUAAAUUGUGAAAUUUGUAAAUUGAAGGGUCAAAUUAUGAAAUAAAUUCAAUAAAUGAUCUGCUAAGGACCUAAGGUAAAUUCGACCUAACAUGGGUUUGUUGAAAUUUUGAGUAAUUUGUGUUAUUUUGAAAUAGGGACUAAAUUGUAAAAAUGUGAAAUAUUAGGAGCUAAAAUGAAAAAUGCCCAAAUUAUGUAUUUUUGGAUAAAAUUGAAUGAAUAUGUUAUUAAACAAGCCAAAUUUGAAUUGAUUAGAUCAAUAAAAGAGGAGAUCGGAUUUGGAUCGGGGAAAAAUAAAAAAAAAUUUCGAAUAGUCGUCCGGUUCGUUCGUGUCCGUACGAGGUAAGUUCAUAAGUAAAUAAUUGUUGUUAAAUUCAUAUGAAAAUGUAUUUAAUUGUGCCGAGUUGAAUUUUAGUAACUAUAUAUGUGUAUGUCGAAUUAAUAUAAAUAUAGGAGAAGUAACUACGAGCUUGAAACGAACGAAUUACGACGUCCGAAAGCCCCGUGCGAACCAUAGGAAUAGUUAGGAUACACAUGUCAUGACAUAGGAUUCUGAUAUGAGUUAUCGUGUAAGACCAUGUCUGGGACGUUGCCGUCGAUUUGAGAUUUACGUGUAAGACCAUGUCUGGGACGUCGGCAUUGUAUACGAUUUCGUGUAAGACCCUGUCUGGGACAGUGGCAUCUAUAUUUGAUUACAUGUAAGACCACAUCAGGGACGUUGGCAUUGUAAGAGCUUUUGAGCUAUCCGAGUAUCCUUAUUGAUUCCGAACGGUUCAAUGGGCAAUAUCGAGAAAUGAAUGACUAUAUGCAAGUAUAUCUGAUUCAGGUACGUACGAAGUGUAUAUGAUAUUCAAGAAUGAAGAGUGAGUAUGUUUCAAAUGACGAUACGUGAAAUACAUAACAAUGAAUGAAAUGAAUGUAUAUAAAUGAACGUUGUGAUACAUAUGCUCGUUAUAUGAAAUUGUAAUGAAAUAAGCUUAAUGAUAUUCAAUAGUUCGAGUACCAUGAAAUUGUGGUCCUAUGUUUCGAACAUGGGAUUUAUGAAAUAUGAAACAUGGUUUUUAGGUAUGCUAGUUUGGUUUGAAAGAUGAUUAGAUAAAUGUUAUUAAUAAGGUUAAAUUAUUAAAUAUGUUAUGUAUAUGUGAAAGAGGUAAAUAAGCAUGUUUUGAUUUGUUGGUUAUGUGUUUUGUAUGACCGAAUGUGAUAUAUAUUUGAAUGAGGAGUAUAUAUGGUUCGAACUGUGGAAUUAUGAAGCAUGUGUAAUAUGAAUUUGAUGUAUGGUAGUUAAUUUGAAUUUUUAAUUGAAAAAUGAGAUUGAAAUGGUUGAGAUUUGCUAAAUUCGGUCUAGUUAAAGUGAAUUAUAAAUAUAAUUGAGAUGAUUUAUUUACUUAUGGCUUACUAAGCUUUCAACACUUACUCUGUGUUUUUUCCUAUGUUAAUAGAGUUUCGGAGACUUGCUCGGGUUGGAAGUCAGAGGAGAUCUCAUCACACUAUCCGGUUAUCGCUUCGGUAAAUAUAAGCUUUGAGUUUUUGGUUAUAUGGCAUGUAUAGGCUAGUUUUGAUAUGUUUGGUUUUGAAAUUUGUAUAUAUAUAUAGCCAUGCGAAAAUGGCUUGAUCAUGAUACUAAUGUUGGUAUAUAUAUUCGGUCAUGUUAUAAGCUUAAUUUGGAGGUAUGUUUCAUGUUAAGUAUGUUUGUGAUGUUGGUUAUAAGAUUCGACAAUGAGAAGUGUUAAUGGUGAUGCAUUGUAGUUGUGUUUUAGUGGGUUAAUAGGGUGUGUUUUUAGGAGAUAAUUGGGGAAAAGUUAUCAAAAUAAGAUUUUCUCCUUAUAAGUUUUCUAGUUUCUUUUUUUCCUUUUCCCAACAAAUUUUCUAACGUUAGACUUUUAUUUCUCUGCCUUGUUUUCUCCCUUCUUAUUCACUUUUGGUUUUUGUUCCCCUUUGGCCGAAUCUUAUUUCUUCCCUUUCCCCUCUCUUUUCAUUUUUGUAUUUUUUUUGCGAGUCAUCUCUUUGGGUGCAACUUUCGACUUCAUCUAUUUCGAUAAGUGGAAUUUUUUCCCUUAGUUAUCACAUUUCGGUUAGGCAGUUAACAAAGGGUUCGUUUUACUCUCGUUUAGGUGUUGUUCAAAGGUUUUAAGCGGAUAUUCCAAUGUGUGGAGACGACUUGUUAUUGGAUUCGUCGCGGUAAGUUUUCGAAUCGUCAUUGGUUUAGUUUCUCGAGUUUUAUGUUGGGGGUAUUUGGUUGAUUGACGAAUCAAGUGAUUAAUUAAGGGAUAUAUUGGUCAAAUAUAGGUUUUUGAAGGCUCGGGUUACUUUGCACAGUGAAUCGAUACCAGGUGUGUACUCAAAACACAAAAAAUGGGAUUCAGUUAAAAGCCGAAAUUUCUUGCUGUCGAGAUAUAAGAGAACUAAGAGAAAAUGAUACGAAAAAUUAUAGAGAUAGGAAAUAAGGGUGUUAUAAAUUUGGAAAUCAACAUUCUACACUAAAAUAGUUUUGGACAACAGCAGUAGUCUAAUUUUGAAAAAUCAUCAAAAAUAGUGGAAAUUGAGUUAGAGGUUGAAUAAAAUAUGAAAUUAAAAUUUACUGAGUCUAGUUUUUCAUAGAAGAAACAGUGUAGGCAAUGAAAUUGUAAGUUAUGAGAUAUAAUGAAUUUUGUGAGCCAAUGUUAGGAUGGUUUCGGGUUCCCCUGUUAUGAAUUUGAAAAAUAAUUUGUAAAAAUAAUAAUUAGGGGCUUAAAUAUAUACAUUUAAAUCUUAAAUCUUUAAUGAGUCUACUUUCAAGAGAAACAAACGAAAACAUCAUCCAAAUUUCGUACUAAGAGACAAAUAAUUUUUAAUAAUGAAAGGUUGAAGCUAUUAAAUAACAGAAUAGAGAUAACUUUGAAGAUUUUACUGUACUUAUUUGGUAUGCUAUAAAUUCUGAAAAUUUUAUGGUAGAAAGAUAUUUGAGUCUUGUUUCAAAAACAUCAAGCAGAUCUUAAUUUGGAAUUCUAUAACUCAAGUUAUAAAUAAUUUAGUGACAAUAACUCCAGUAGACAGCUCUGAAUGAUCAUAUUAGUAAUUAGUGGAAACAUAUAUGAAUAUUUAGCUAGCAUGGGUUACAUUAAAAAUGGAUUACACGGCCAAGGCCAAUUUUUACUGAGCAUGUUAAUAUCAGAAUAGAAUAUGUGUACUGAAAUGAUUCUAUGGUUGCACGAGUCGCCCUAAUCGACUGUGAACCAACUGUAAGGUCGGUAAGCGCUACUUAGGCCCCUAAAUGCGUGAAAUUGACUGAAUGAUAUUUGUACUGAGCAUGUUAAUAUCUGAAUUGAAUAUAUGUACUGGAAUUGCAUAACAUCAUAUCAUCCAUGGUAUGUUGCAUUGCAUUGGGUUGGGGUUGUUAUUUGGAGGAAGUGUACUGAAAGGCUUUAAGCCUAAUUUAUUAGCAGCUCAACCGCAAACUACUGUUUUGUGCCGCAUUCGGUAAUAUUGGGAGUGUAGGGAUGCGUGGGUGAUUAUAUCCCCACAUGGAGUGUAGGGUUGGACGGAGAUGGUGUGUAGAGGCUGGUUGGGUAGGAUUUUUGGACUUCAUGGUUUUGAAUUACGAUUUAUGAUUUGAUUAUUAUUUAUUAUUUGGGUUGUAAUUUAAGGACCCUCUAGGACUUUGGCAUUAAAUUUUGAGUUUUUAUUUAUUUAUUUUACCUUAUGGAUUUAUACCUACUGGUCGUAGGAAAUUCGAUUUUCAAAAAGUUAAAGUAUUUUCUAAACGCAUGAUCACUUAAACUGUUUUAUUAAAGCUUCUGCAACGAGGAAUGUUUCAAAACAAAUGCUUUAAAUGAAUAAAGACGACUUCCUAAGUUCUAACAAAGGUUUACUAAAGAUAAUAACAUGGAAUGCUUUCAUCGUAACAACAGGAUUUCAAAAACACGUUCCUGUGACAUUGCCAGCUAUGGCCAUAACGUUUAGGUUGGGUUUGGGGUGUUAUAUUUAGUGGUAUCAGAGCCAGGUUACAAAACUCAGCUGUGGAUUAUUGGUUUUAAAUUUUCUUUGAAAAAUUGGUUUUUAAAUGAUUUGAAAUAUUUCUACUGAGUAUGUGGUGUACCAAUUCUUCGGCGCUGUAAAAGGAAAAAUAUAUAGGAUUUUUCCUAUGUAAUUUAUCACCUUUUUACUUAAAUCCGUUGUUAAAACUAAGUAAUUGUUUAAUAAAUUAAUGAAAUAUGUGAAAAUAUGAAAUUAGGACAUAAAAAUUAUUAAAAUGUGAUUUUAUGCUUUAUUAUAUAGUUUUCAUGCAAUAAAUGACUUAUUUUAUAUUAAUUUGAAUAUAUUAUAUUUUUUAAGACAUAAAGUGGGCCAUGCAUGAUUAAAUUAAAUAAUAAAAUAUAAAAUUAUAUUUAAUAAUUAAUUUUAAAAUAUUUCAUUAAUAAUUUGGGUUUUUAAUUAAUUAAUUAAAUUGGAUAAAUUUUAUUCUUUGGUCUUCUAACUUGUUGAUUUAUUCCGGACAUGUCUGAUAGCUUUGUUGGAUUACAAAAUCGUCCAAAUUAGAGACCAAGUAAACCCUAAAAUUCAGCUGCACAUGGCUAUCCAUAAACUACUCUUUAGUUUAAUUGCACAAGGUCCUUGAAGAGUUGAAGAAAUUAGAGAUUUACCUGAAGAUUUGCAAUUGACCGAGUCUCAGUCCUAAGUUAUUGUGGCACUCAAAUUUACCAAAAAUCAAGGAAAAAUCAGCUCAACUUGCUUAAUUUAUGGCUGGCCACCCAUGGAAGAUGCUUCAAAAGAUGAAAACUCCUAUUUUUAGCAAACUAUCCCCCUCUCCUCACCUAUAAAUAAGACACUCUCAUUCCUUCAUUCAUCUUCCCUCAAGCAUCAUUCUCUCUUUUCUCCAAAUUCUCUUAGCCUUUUCCAUCCCCACGCCUAGCAUCAUCUCUUCAUAGAGAUUUUAGCAAUUAAGCCUCUUAAAGAACCCUUGGUCAGCCACCUUGGAAAGCCAUCAGCAAAGGAGCAAAACAAAGAAAUGAAGGAGUCUCAUCAGUCAGAGUCUUGGGUGACAACCACUCUGAAUUGGGUUUAAUCUUCCUUUUCUUUAAUUUAAUAUGAAGAUGUUUGCUAUGUGUUCUUUAUUCUAGUUUACAACAAUGUUAGCUUAAUUUUACUUAAGCUAGGAUGAUUGCUUUGAUUAAAUAAUAUUUAUUUGAUUCAUGCUUAUAAUGUCUGUGCCUCAAUCGAUCAUGUUUUCAAUUAAAAUCAAGUUUGUAUUUCGUUCAUAAGUGAUUGAAAUGCACCUAAAUUAGUUGAGCGAUCCAGACCAGAUGUUGGCUAAUGGACACAUAAUUGAAAUGUGCAUACUCAAUUUAGAUCAUGACCCGAUUAAAUUGAAGGUUGCAUAACAACUCUGACCAAGCUCUGUUAUCUGCAUAGUUUUUAGAAUUGUGUGAUUAAAUUAUUUCAAACCUAACACGUCCCUGUUACCUCACACGAAUGCUAAGAAAUCCUUAGUAAAUAAGGAUCAGUAAAAUGCGUAUUUACUAAGUGAAGGAUUCCGAAAGGACCUAAUGUGGUUUCCAAAUUCAUGAAAGAUCGACUUGCCAUGGAAUGUUUUUUUGAAUGUUAUUAAGCAUGUUGAUAAUAAAUUGAGUUUGAUUAAAGUAAUUAUCCUAGUUUAUUUAUGUUAUAAUUGUUGCAAAUUGUGUUUAGUUUUACUAAAAUCUAUUUCAUUCAUAUAGUUUGCAUACUUAGAAUAAUUUGCAUUAGGGAUCAUUGCAUUUAGUUUAAUAUAUUUUAAUCACCACUUCUCAACUAUAUUGUGUUUUUAUUUACCGAAUUGUUAAUAUAAUUUUACAAAUUAAGUGACUUAGCACAAAUACAAUCCCUGUGGAGAUGAUAACUCGAUACUUAACUAUUACUUGAUAACGACUGUGUACACUUGCACAAACCUACGCGUUACAGGUGCCGAUCUUGUAAGUGUUCUAAAACUAAUACAUGCUACGAUAUUCUGAAACUGAUAUAUGUUAUGAUAUUCUGAAACUACUAUAGGUAGUAUACUUGGUAGGUAUCAUUACUUCUACCGAAUUAAAUCUACUACUCGACCAAUAUUAACUAGUAAUAUAAGGAAAAUAGGGAAUCGCCCCACGGAGAAGCUUGUGUUAAAUCUAUUCGAAGAGAAUCAAAAUUAAACCAAUAUAAACCACGCACACGUAAGCAAAAAACAGGGGGUUCUUGUUUAAAAUGUUGCAAAAAACAAAAAAAACUAAAGUAAUGAACGAAAAUGAAUUCGAAUUAAAAUCACUUUGAAAUAAUUAAUCCAAUAGAGAGAAAGAAGGCUUAGUUAUGGACUCCUCAAUCCAUCAAGCACAAGUCAUUUGUGACCUUCAAUUAUCCCAGUAGACUAAUUCGACAGCAAUGCUGAAAAAUUACUUACGAAGUGAUUUCCUAUCUCCGAUCAUUUUAUCCAAUUAGAGAACGUUCAUAACUAAAUCCCUACCCUUAAUUAUCUCUCUAUCGACCAAUUAAAGGUGCGUUUAGUAUUCUAGUGAUUUCACCUAGCAUUAAUUGUACAGAAUCCUCCAGCGGCUUCUACACUUAAACCCUUAGUUGUUUUAAUUAGCCGCUGGCCAAUUAGUCAUCAUCAACUCUAAGUUUAAUUAAGAAAUUCGAUCACUCAAUUUGUACUCAGAUGAUUGUAAGAAAAUUCCAAAAUUAAAUAGGUGAUCAAUCAAAUUAAUUUAAACAAUUUCCUUGAACGAUAAAAAAAACAAUUAAAGAUUACCGAACUUGGAAUUAGAAUAAAGCAUGACUUUGAACCAACUUGUACUUGGCUUCAUGAGUACCUAACUAAGCGGAAAUAAUUCAGUCACUCAUAGUAAGGAGAACAGAACAGAAAUUAAUUAAAGACAAUAUGAAUUUCGAGCCAAUCUCAUAUGGAAAACUGCUCUUAAUUGUCGAGCAUUCCUCCUCUCGACGAGCUAAAUUUUUGGACUGCUAUCCAGUUGCUUGAUCAGCGCGUGCUUGUUCACAAAUUCCUAGACAGAGUAACCCGAGUUAUGCCUGCGAAAAAUCUCUCCCUCGUCUGUUGCUUCUUCUCCUCCUUUUAUGGAAUAAAAUUAACCUCCAAUAAUUUAAAACAAAAUCUGUUCUUAUCCCCUGAUCUUAGCUUAACCUGUCGCAUAAAAAUAGCUCCAUCCUACUAGAGUUUUACUUAAAUUGAACUUAUCAAGGGUUGAUUGGAUUCCCUUGAUUUGAUUAGAGUCGGCCACCACUAGCAAGAAGGAGAAUUAGGGAAUUAAAAAUAAUUCCCUUGUCGACUGGUUUCAUGAUGUCGGUCUAUUGCGCCUUAUGGUGGACCGAGCCUCGCCUUUGCUGUCAUGGUCUUUUGUGGUCGAAUUAAUUUCUUCGAAUAUUGACCCCGUCAACUUAGAGAAUAAGCAUUCGCCCAGCCUUUUCCAGCAGCUUCUUCAUUUGGGUUCAGUCUAACUAUCCGAUGAACCUACCUUGCAAUAUGGCUUAAAAUAUCGUUAAAUCAUCGGUGUUGAAUUAAAAAUAAAUUAAGAGAGCAUAGUAUAUUCUUAAUGCAAAUUCAACUAAUUGGAAACUAAUUAAUCAAGAAUGCAUCAAUAGUUAAGGUAAUUAAUGGAGUAAGUUAAGCUCAAAAUUGAACUUAACAAACUCCCCCAUACUUAAACUAUUGAUCGUCCUCGAGCAAUCCCUAAGAGUCAAGAAGUGAAGCAAAUAGAAUCAUGCUAAAUUUAAAAAAACUCAAGUCGAAUCACGAAACGUUGCAUCUUUCAUUUUUGAAUAAAUUUUGGAAUCAUCAAUCCUGAAUUUUGGUUCGUCAAAGAAAAGAAAAAUCUGCUUUAAAUCCACAAAUACUAUUUCAAAAAAAAUUCAAAGGUAAUCAAAAUUUAAGAAUGCUUCCUUGAUCAAUCCUCUCCGGAAAAAAAAAUGUUUUAACUCACAUCACUCAAUGUGUUUAGGCUAGUAUGCUGCUCUCAAAUUGAAAUCGACAGUAAUUAACCACAAUAGGCUUGCUUGUCCACCUUAUCUUACAACAUAACACAUACUAAAUCCAAAAAUAUGAUUGAGGCUAGACAAAGGUUGUAAUGGGGCCAAGGUAAUGUUUAAGGAUGGGGGGAGUUUAUUUGGAUGGUGGAGCUAGUUCUCUUAAUCUAGUAAAAUUUAUCAUUCAGGAGUCAUCAUUCUCUCCUAUUUUUCUUCUCUUUUUUUUUUUUAAAUACGGAUGAUGGAUUCAACCAGCCCUUCAUCAUUUCGAUUUCCUGCCCCCUGAUUCGGCAGUCUCCCUCCAAUGUGAUCGCGUAUUACUUCUUUCAUUAGACUAUUCUUUUGCUUAAUAGUGAAGCUACACUUACUGAUUUUCCUCUCAUUUUUCAUAUCAUUUUUUAAUUGCCAAUUAGCCACCCACUCCAAACAGUACUUCCAUCAAUCCACCAUAUGUCGAGAUCAAGAUGAACUUCCCAAUUGAAUUUACUAGCCUAGAGAAGGUGAGUUAAUUUAAGCUCGGUUCAAUUUCUAGGGGUGAAUCAAUAAGAAAUUGGGGAAUUAAGGCUUCAAAUUGGCUAACUAAAUGGAGAUAGCAUCAAGGUCGGCCUUUAUAAGUAAUCAUGGCUUACUUCCUAAUGCCUAUCAAAUCAUAUUGUUGGGAAUCAAAUGUAUUACCCAUCUUAAUAAGAUCUAAAGCAAGUUCUAAAGUAAUCGACAAUCGAUAACAAUAAUCAUACAUGAAUUAAUAAUAACCUCUCAAGUUGGCAUGGACGUCCCAACUUUACUCUCUAGGCUCAAAUUCCUCACAAGGACCACAUGAUUGAUCAAUUAAGCAGACUAAAUUUUUUUAGAACAAUACAACUCCGAUUUUGAAGUACAAAAGUAAACAUGGUAUUUUUCCUCAUUUUUUUCCCUUUCUUUUCUUUUUCGAACCAAAAUCAGUCAAUUGAAAACAAAAUUGAACCCAACCAAUCGCCAUACAACAAUCAAAAUUAACUUGAAUUCGUAAAAUACAUUUUCAUUAUUUAUUUCUUUAUAUUUUUAUAUAUGUAUAUAUAUUUUCCAAAGAAAUUUAAUAACAUUUAUUCAUGAAAUUCGCUAAAUGCAAACAUCAAAUAUGUUAGAAAAUCAAUGAAAUGAUUAACUCCCCCAUACUUAAUAUUUGCAUUGUCCCUAAUGCAAAAGAAAAUUAAGAUAAUUACUAAUGGAAAAAGAACAAUAAGACUGUAAAAGAUAAAAGAAAAACUUCUCUAAAUGAGUGGGUUGCCUCCCACAAGCGCCUUUGUUUGAAGUCGUUGGCUCGACAUUGCAAUUCCUCAUGGAUCCUCAAGAUUGAUCUCCUCCACCCAAGCUGCUUGCUCCCCUUCAUGGAAAUGUUUCAACUUGUGACCAUUCACCUUGAAAAUUUUAUUAGUAUCAAGGCUUCUAAUUUCGACUACCCCAUCAUGAUGCACUUCGGUUACUAUAAACGGUCCAAGCCACCUUGAUUUCAACUUACCGGGAAACAGUUUAAGCUUAGAAUUAAAUAGUAGUACCUUCUCCCCCACCUUAAAUUCUUUGCGAAUCAACUUUGAGUCACGAAAUGCCUUCAACUUACCUUUGUAGAUGACUGAAUUGUCAUAUGCCUCGAAGCACAGCUCCACCAACUCUUGUAGCUUUAACUUGCGUUCUUCACCUGCCAAACUAUAAUCCAAAUUGCAUUGCUUAACAGCCCAAAAUGACCUAUGUUCUAGCUCUACGGGAAGAUGACAUGCCUUCCCAAAAACAAUCUUAUAAGGCGACAUCCCUAUUGGUGUUUUGUAAGCUGUUCGAACAACCCACAAUGCUUCAUCUAACCUUUGGCUCCAAUCCUUUCUAUUAGGCUUGACAGUGUUCUCUAAAAUUCCCUUAAUUUCCUUGUUGCUACUCUCAGCUUUGCCAUUGGUUUGAGGGUGAUAAGAUGUCGAUACUUUGUGGGUGACACCGUAUUGUGUAAAUAAGGCUCUUACUGUUCGAUUACAGAAAUGGGUUCCCUUGUCACUAAUUAUAGCUCUUGGUACUCCAUAUCUAUUUAAGAUGUUGGUCUUAAGAAGUUUCACCACAGUCUUAGCAUCAUCGGUCCUAGUUGUAAAUGCUUCUACCCAUUUCGACAAGUAAUCAACACACACAAGAAUGUAUAAAUAACAGAAAGAAGAAGGAAAAGGCCCCAUGAAAUCAAUACCCCACACGUCAAAUAUAUCACAAACAUAAAAAUUAUGUAAUGGCAUUUGAUUUCUACUACUUAAGUUGCCGGUUUUUUGACAUAAUGCACAAUUUUUACAAAAUGCGUAUGAGUCUUUAUGAAUAGUCAGCCAAAAUAACCCACACUCAAGUAUCUUAUGAGUUGUUCUCUUAGGUCCAAAAGGUCCCCCACCCUCUCGAGAAUGGAAAAAAUUAAGCACGGAUUAUAUCUCACUAUCAUCAACCCAACGCCUAAUUAUUUGGUCACUGCAAAAUAGCCAAAGGUAUGGCUCCUCCCAUAAGUAAAAUCGGGCUUGACUUCUAUUUUUUUUCUUUCAAGUGCCUAGGUGCAUUCGUGGGGAACUCUUUAGUCACUAAGUAGUUCACUAUGUCGGCAUACUAUGGCAAAGCACUAGACACACUACAGAGUUUUUCAUCGGGAAAUAAAUCAUUCGGCUCAAUCAUCACGUCCCCAGUCUCUAUCCUGUUGAAAUGAUCAGCCACAAGGUUUUCUUUACCCUUCUUACUUUAAUCUCUAGGUCAAAUUCUUGCAAAAGAAAAAUCCAUCUAAUCAAUCUGGGCUUGGCAUCGUUUUUAUGUAAAAAAUAUUUAAGAGCACUAUGAUCAGAAAAAACAACGACUUUGACUCCUAACAAAUACGCUCUAAAUUUCUCUAAGGCAAAGACUAUGGCAUAGAGUUCUUCCUCGGUUGUGGUGUAAUUGCACUGAGCUGGGUUUAAUAGUUCACUAGCAUACCUAAUAAUAUAAGACUCUCUACCGUUUUUUUGCACAAGUGCCGCACCAACAGCCCUAUCACUAGCAUCGCAUAGAAUCUCGAAGGGUAAUGCAUAAUUUGGUCUUUGAAUGAUAGGUGCCGUGAUCAAUUUCAGUUUUAAUUCAUCAAAAUAUUUUUUACAAUUCUCAUUAAAUUCGAAUGUGACAUCCUUACCUAGAAAUGCACAUAAAAAUGAAGAUAUUUACAAAAAAAUAUUGAUGAACCUACGGUAGAACCCUACAUGCCCUAAGAAAGAUCGAAUUCCUUUCACAGUACUCGGGUAGGGUAAAUUUUUAAUCACCUCAACCUUGGCUUGGUCAGCUUCUAACCCUCUAGCGGAGACGACAUGCCCCAACACUACACCUUUCUCAACCAUGAAAUGACAUUUCUCAAAGUUCAAUAUCAGAAUAGUAUCAAUGCAACGCUUAAGCACUAACACAAGAUGAUGUAAACACUGAUAAAAUGAAUCACCAUAAACAGUAAAAUCAUCUAUAAACACUUCCAUUAAAUGUGAAAUAAAAUCUAAAAAAUGCUCAUUAUACCUCUUUGAAAUGUGGCUGGUGCGUUGCACAAUCCGAAAGGCAUUCUCUUGAAGGCAUAAGUUCCAAACGGGCAAGUGAAAGUGGUCUUCUCUUGAUCUUUAGGUGCGAUGAGUACCUGUAAAUAACAUGACUAGCCAUUUAAGAAAAAAAAAUGUGAGCGACCAGCUAGCCGUUCUAAUAUCUGAUCCAUGAACGGGAGGGGGUAGUGGUCUUUUUUAGUGGCUUUGUUCAGUUUCCUAUAGUCUAUGCAAACCCGCCAACCAUUCUGCACUCUUGUAGGAAUUUCUAACCCUUCCUCGUUGGUAACUAUUAUGGUUCCUCCAUUCUUAGGGACAAUAUGAAUCGGACUUACCCAUUUUGAAUCAGCUAUGGGGUAAAUAACAUCAGCCUCUAACCAUUUUAAAAUUUCUUUUUUAACCACCUCCAUCAUUGGUGGAUUCAAUCGGCGUUAGGGGUCUCUUUUAGGAACUGAGUCUGGUUCUAAGGCUAUCUUAUGAGUGUAUAAAGUCAUACUAAGUCUCCUAAUAUCGGCUAGUGUCCAACUGAAGGUUUUUUUAUGCUCCCUAAGAACUCUAAUCAGCUUGGAUUCUUGGGUUUCAGUCAAGGCAUUUGACGCUAUCAACGACAAAGUCUGAUUUUUACCCAAAUAAAUGUACUUUAAAUUUUCGGGUAGCUCUUUUAGCUCAACUUAGCAUAUCUAGGCACUUGUUUAAUUGCAUCAAUUAAUGGAAUGUUAACUUGUACCUUGCGGAAUGUUUCCAGAAUUUGGGCAUUAAAGUCGUCUGAUUUUUCCUUCCUCAAGCGCUGUGGAAAUGGGGCUUUCGGCACAUAAGACCGUGGUUGGUUAUUAGCGUUUGGACUUCCUUCUACUUGAGGCUCGGAAGCCUACGUUUCCUGCUCAAAAUUCGCUGCAUCUCGCGAAGUAGUGGGCUACUAUAGGCGUGAUUUUUCUGUUUCUUUUGGAGCUGCCCGUGACGGUUGCAAAUCAUCCUUUGGCAGGGCUAAACUCUCCCAUGUUCUAUCACUAAAUCGGACCUUUUUUACCUCGGUCUCGUCUUCUUCAUCACUAUUUUAGACCUUUUUCAGUAUAAGUCUCAAUUCCUUCCCACUUCGCAAGGUUAUUGCACUAACAUUAUCCCUCGAAUUUGCUACUGGCUGUGACGGUAAUCGGUUAUUCACUUGUGCCUGCAAGUUUUCGAGGUUAACAUUGGUCGAUAAAGCUCUAGUUUGUAAUUGUUUCACAGCGGAUUCCAAAGCCUGAAACCUCCCAUCGAUUUCCUUUUUUUGGUCAGCCAUCAUCUUCAUCAUUUGUUCAAGCAUGGUAUGAGUCUUAGUCUCGGCACUAAGGUUUUGAUGGGGUGGUUGUGAUAUAUUAUAUGGUCGGGAAUUUUGCUGCUCAAAUCCAGGGGGUGUGGCUCGGUUUUGGUAUAUGAGAUUGGGAUGGUUUCUCCAUCCCUCAUUGUAGGUAGCUGAAUAUGGAUCAUACCUUCUCUGAUUCGAAAAGACGGUAUUAGCUUCUCCUUCUUGCAAUGUUGGGCACAUAUCUGUGGUAUGUCCUUCCAAACAACAAAUACCACACAGUGACGCCUUCGCAUUAAAUCCAGUCAUCAACUUACUUACCAUAGCUGUUAAGUUAGCUAAUUGAGCCUCCAUCAUACUCGACUGCCCUUCAUCCAUUCGCUUACCUAAAUCAGACCUCCUGAGACCAAAUUGCUGGGUAUUUUGUGCCAUAUUAGCAAUCAAAUUUCAGGCUUCCUCAGGUGUUUUAUCGACCAGCGCACCUCCACUUGCUGCAUCAAUCAUUCCUCGAUCUUGUGGCAUCAACCCCUCAUAGAAAUAUUGCAGUAAGAGUUGCUCACUAAUCUGAUGUUGUGGGUAGCUCGCACAUAACCAUUUAAAUCUUUCCCAAUACUCAUAUAAUGUCUCUCCUGCCAGCUAUUUGAUUCCACAAAUUUCCUUCUUAAUUGAUCCUAUCCUUGAUGCCGGAAAGAACUUCUGAAGAAAGGCUUUAUGUAACCCUAUCCAAGUCGUGAAGGAACCCGGCGGCAUGUAAUAUAGCCAAUCCUUAGCCAAACCUUGUAAUGAGAAAGGAAAGGCUCUGAGCCUGAUCUGUUCUUCUUCAAUACCGUCUGGCUGCGUAGUUAAACAAGUAAUUAUAAAUUCAUUAAUAUGUCGGUAAGGAUCCUAACCUGGCAAUCCAUUGAAUUUUGGUAACAAAUUUAGGAAUCCCGAGUUGAGUUUUAAUGGCCUAUCAAGGACGGGGUAAGUGAUAGAUGGAGGCUGAGCAGCCAAGUUAGGUGCGGCCAAUUGCUUCAAGGUCUGGUGAGCCAUGUCGAUGUCUGUUAAAUUGUUAGGAUUAGUGUGGGGUUGUGAAAUUCAGCUUGCUAAUCGAUGGUAUUAGCAGAGGACUUCGAUGUUCGUCAUCUGCUUCUUAAUAACAUAUACUAAAGGAAUAAAUCUGCCCGCAUAAACAAAAACAGGAAAACAAAUUAAGUUCUAAAAAUCAAAUAAAUCUGACAAUGUCGCUUCCCCGGAAACAGCGCCAAAAUUUGGUAGCUAUCAUUACUUCUACCGAAUUAAAUCUGCUACUCGACCAAUAUUAACUUGUAAUAUAGGGAAAAUAGGGAAUCGUCCCAUGGAGAAGCUUGUGUUAAAUCUAUUCGAAGAGAAUCGAAAUUAAAACAAUAUAAACCACGCACACGUUAGCAGAAAACAGAGGGCUUCUUGUUUCAAAUGUUAUAAAAAAACUACAGUAAUGAACGAAAAUGAAUUCGAAUUAAAAUCACUUUGAAAUAAUUAAUCCAAUAGAGAGAAAGAAGGCUCAGUUAUGGACUCCUCAAUCCACCAAGCACAAGUCAUUUGCGACCUUCAAUUAUCCCAGUAGACUAAUUCGGCAUCAAGGCUAAAAAAUUACUUACGAAGUGAUUUCCUAUCUCCGAUAAUUUUAUCCAAUUAGAGAACGUUCAUAACUAAAUUCCUACCCUUAAUUAUCUCUCUAUCGACCAAUUAAAGGUGUGUUUAGUAUUUUAGAUAUUUCUCCUAGCAUUAACUGUAGAGAAUCCUCCAGCGGCUUCUACACUUAAACCCUUAGUUGUUUUAAUUAGCUACUGGCCAAUUAGUCAUCAUCAACUCUAAGUUUAAUUAAGAAAUUCGAUCACUCAAUUUGUACUUAGAUUAUUGUAAGAAAAUUCCCAAAUUAAAUAGGUGAUCAAUCAAAUUAAUUUAGAAAAUUUCCUUGAACGAAAAAAAACAAACAAUUAAAGAUUACCGAACUUGGAAUUAGAACAAAGCAAGUCUUUGAACCAACUUGUACUUGGCUUCAUGAGUACCUAACUACGCAGAAAUAAUUCAGCCACUCAUAGUAAGGAGAAUAGAACAGAAAUUAAUUGAAGACAGCAUGAAUUUUGAGCCAAUCUCGUAUGGAAAAUUGCUCUUAAUUGUUAAGCCUUCCUCCUCUCGACGAGCUGAAUUUUUGGACUGCUAUCUAUCUGCUUGAUCGGCGCGUGCUGGUUCACAAAUUUCUAGACUGAGUAACCCAAAUUAUGCCUAUGAAAAAUCUCGCCCUCGUCUACUGUUUCUUCUCCUUUUUUAUGGAAUAAAAUUAACCUCCAAUAAUUUAAAACAAAAUAUGUCCUUAUCCCUUGAUCUUAGCUCAAUCUGUCGCAUAAAAAUAGCUCCAGCCUACUAGAGUUUUACUUAAAUUCAACUUAUCAAGGGUUGAUUGGAUUCCCUUAAUUUGAUUAGAGUCGGCCACCGCUUGCAAAAAGGAGAAUUAGGGAAUUAAAAAUAAUUCCCUUGCCAACUGGUUUCAUGAUGUAGGUCUAUUGCGCCUCAUGGUGAAAACCUCUAGAUAGUGUAUAUUGAGACAAUAGCAAAACAGUUAGAGACUGCGAUUUACGAAAAUCACUCUGAAUUACUGAAACUGUUUACAUAAAACAUUUGUUAAUAAAUACUGAAACUGAAAUUGAUGCAUAAAAAUUUGUAAUACAGAUAAAUUUGAAUAGACAUGAGCACACGAGGUAUUUGUGGACGUGGUACUCGAGGCUGAGGUAGAGGCCGUAGGUGGUUCGAUCUGAAUCCUCUUCCCUAGGUAAUAUACCAAAUUUGGACACGAGUGAGAUGCUAGUAUCGCCUGCUACUGAGACUGAGUCUUAUGAUCGCAUGGCUAGGGAUGAAGCAUUGUACCAGGCUAUGUUGAGGAUAUUAGAGAGGGUCGCUGGGCCUAAUAUUGGAUCUGGGGGCCGUGGGUCGGUUAUGGAACGACUCCGGUUCAAUGAAGCUGAGCUCUUCAGGGGUGUCACUGAGGUCGCCCCUAAUGUGGCCGAGUACUAGAAUGAGGCCACAAAGAAUGUCAUGGAUGACCUGGAUUGCACCUCCAAGUAAAAAUUAAAGGGUGCAGUCUCGCUGUUGCGUGAUGAGGCUUAUCAAUGGUGGCUUACUGUUAAGGAGGGCAUUCAGCCCAAACGUCUGACCUAGGAGUUCUUUAAGACCGCCUUAUAAGGGAAAAAUGUGGGAGCUAGUUGUGUGGAAGCCCGUAGGAGGGAGUUCCUGAAUCUAACACAAGGAGAUUGAUCAGUGGUCGAGUAUGAGCCGAAUUCCUACGACUGAGCUACUAUGUGCAAGGUAUGGUGGCGACUGAGUAUGAGCGUUCUAUCCGCUUAAAUGAUGGCCAGAGAUAAUUUGAGAGUCUUGAUAGCUCCGUAGAGGGAGCGUGAUUUUUCUUCACUGGUUGAUAAGGUAAAGAUCACCGAGGAGGUUAAGCGCACUAAGCGCCAAAACUGCGAUAGGGAGAGAGGUAGGAACAAGAAAGAUUCGGAGCCCUUGAGUUAUAUGCAGAGGCCUAAGAAAAAGACCAGAGCUGAAGGGCCAGUCAAAGCUGGGCCCCCUGUUACCGCUACUGGACUGCAGCCAUGUGUCGACUGUGGUUGGCGCCAUCAGGGCGAGUGUUGGAGAAAGACUGGGGCAUGCUUACGGUGUGGGUCAUCGGAGCACAGUAUUAGGGAGUGUCCGCUAAAGGCUGAUCAGAUGCACGGUCCAGGUUCCAGUAUGGCACGGCCACAAAGGGUAGUCCAGCAGCCAGUGAGGGCCGUGGAUAGGCCAGAGGUGGUAAUGGUAUGGGUCGUGGGCAAAGAGCACCGGGCAGAGGUGCUAAACAAGCUGAGGCGAGACAGCCGACCCUAGUUUAUGCUGCUCUUUGUCGAGAAGAUUGAAAUGCUCUGGACAGCAUUACGGGUACAUUUUUUAUUCUUGAUGUAGCGUAUAUUGCUUUGAUAGGCAUAGGUCUACUGACUCAUACAUAGCUAGCAACAUAUCUGGAAAUUUGGGGAUUCCAGUUGAGAGUACUUCUAGUGAGGUGACUAUGCUAAGCCUGCUGGGGCAAUCUAUUAAAGUUAGCAAACUGUAAAAGGAUGUUCCUUUAGAGGUUAAAAGGACGGUAUUUCUGGCUGAUUUGAUGGAGCUUCCGUUUGAGGAGUUCGAUAUGAUAUUGGGGAUGGACUGGUUGGUCAAGCAUCGUGUCAGUUUGGGGUGUACAAAUAAGAGGGUCGUAUUAAGAACUGAGGAGAGUAAUAAAGUAGUUGUGAUAGGGGAAUGUCUGAAUUAGUUCAAUAACAUGAUCUCUGCACUGGUAGCUGAGAAACUAGUUCGCAAGGGAUGUAAGGAGUAUUUGGCCUACAUAAGUGUUUUCGCUUCUGGGACUCUAUUGUGAAGGACAUUAGAACUGUGAGUGAUUUUCCAGACUUCUUUCCUUAGGAGUUAUCGGGUUUACCUCCGAAUCGAGAAGUGGAGUUUGGGAUUGGGCUUUUCCCUGGUACAGCUCCGGUGUCUAUCGCUCCCUAUUGAAUGACAACUAAAGAGUUUAAAAAGCUUAAGGCUCAAAUUCAAGAGUGAUUGGAUCGUGGGUUCAUCUGCCCUAGUGUGUCCCUAUGGGGAGCAUCGGUAUUGUUUAUUAAGAAUAAGGAUGGAUCAUCAGGAUGUGUAUCAACUAUCGACAACUAAAUAAGUUGACUAUUAAGAAUAAGUAUCCACUUCCGAGAAUUGAAGAUUCUUUUGACCAAUUCCAGGGGGAGUCUGUGUUCUCCAAAAUUGACUUGCGUUCUGGGUAUCAUCAGUUGAGAGUUAAGGAGGCUGAUGUUCAUAAGACGGCAUUUAGGACUCGUUAUGGCCACUACAAGUUCCUAGUGAUGCCAUUUGGACUGACUAAUACACCGACAGUUUUUACGGAUCUAAUGAACUGAGUGUUUCAACCCUACCUAGAUCAGUUUGUAGUGGUGUUCAUCGAUGACACAUUGGUUUAUUCGAGGACUGAGGAUGAGCAUGACGAGCAGCUUAGCUUUGUUCUUCAAAUUUUGAGGGAAAAGUAGCUCUAUGCUAAGUUCAGCAAGUGCGAGUUCUGGUUACGUGAAGUAACAUUUCUGGGUCAUGUAGUGUCUACUGAGUGGAUUCGAGUCGAUCCUCGAAAAAUUGAGGUUGUAUUGGAUUGGAAGUAGCCUAAGAAUGUGUUUGAGAUUCGUAGCUUUUUGAUGUUGGUCGGUUAUUACCGACGGUUUGUGGAAGGAUUUUCAUUGAUUGCAGAACCCUUGACUAAGCUGCUAUGUAAAGGUGUACUGUUUGACUAGACUAAUGCGCAGCAAGAGAGCUUUGAGAAGCUUAAGACUGUACUGACUGAGGCUCCUGUUUUGGUACAGCCUGAACCUGGAAAAGAGUUCACGGUUUAUAGUGAUGCACACAUGUCGGUUUGGGAUGUGUGUUGAUGCAGAAUGGUAAGGUGGUUACAUAUGCGUCUCGUUAGCUUAAGACACAUGAGGCAAACUAUCUGACACACGAUUUGGAGUUGGCCACCGUAGUAUUUGCAUUAAAAAUCUAGAGGCAUUAUCUAUAAUGUGAGAAGUGUAUCAUCUACACUGAUCACAAAAGCCUCAAGUAUCUCUUUACUAGACCUGUCCAUGGGUCGGGCGGCCCGGCCCUGCCCGACGGCCCGCUCUAAAUAUGGGAGAGUUCGGGUAAAAAUAUAGGCCCGAAAUAUGGGGUUGGGCAAAAAAAUGAGGCCUGUUUAAAAAAUGGGCCACGCCUCAGACACCACUUUUUUGGCCUAGGCCCGGCUCGGCCCGGCCCGAAUAUAAUAAAUAUAUAUUUUUUAUUUUUAUUUUUUAAUUUUAAAAUACUUUUAAAAUAUUUUUAUUUUUUAUUUUUAAAAUAAUUUUUUAAUGUUUAUUAAAAAAUGGGCCGGGCCGAGUUGGGCUCGAGUCAGGCUCGGGCUUAUGAUAUUUUUCCUGAGCUGGGCCUGGGUAAAAUUUCAGGCCCAUAGUUCAGGCCGGGCCGAGCCCGAGCCUAGGAGGCGGGUUGAAAAUUUUUCCGGUCUACUCCUUACUCAGAAGGAGUUGAAUCUAAGGCAGGGAAGAUGGGUUGAGUGGCUUAAGGAUUACGACCGUACCAUUGAGUACCAUUUUAGCAAGGCCAAUGUGGUGGCCGAUCUGUUCAGCCAUAGGGCUAUUACCGAUCUGAGAGCGAUGUUCGCUCAACUUAGCCUAUUCGAUAGUGGAAGUCUGUUGGUAGAACUUCAGGUCAAAUUGACAUAGAUUGAACAGAUUCGAGGUAAAUAGUUGGGGGAUAGGUCUCUCAGGUUUCAUUUUCAUCAAGUUGAGAAUGGUUGCACUACUAACUUUGGGAUAAACAGUGAUAGGGUACUUUGUUUCCGCGGUCGGAUUUGUGUACUGAAUGAUGAGGAUUUAAGGCAGUCGGUUUUGAGACAGGCACAUGGUAGUCCCUAUGCUAUGCAUCCCGGAAAGAACAACAUGUAUCGAGAUCUUCAGGAAUUGUACUGGUGGCCAGGGUUGAAGCAUGAGGUUACUUACUUCAGAAAUUAGCUAAGCUCUACAUAUCAAAAAUAGUGAGACUGCAUGGGGUACCUGUCUCGAUCAUUGCUGAUAGGGAUCCUCGUUUCACGUCUCAGUUCUGAAAGAAGCUUCAUAAGGCUCUGGGUUCAAGAUUAGACUUUAGUACUGCUUUCCAUCCUCAAAUAGAUGGUCAGUCAGAGAGGGUGAUUCAUAUACUGGAGGACAUGUUGAGGAGCUGUGUUAUUGAUUACUAAGGCAGUUGAGAGGAGUACUUAUUGUUAGCGGAGUUUGCCUACAAUAAUAGCUUCCAGUCUAGCAUCCAGAUGGCACCUUACGAGGCACUGUACGGUCGCAAGUGUCGUACUCCUUUAUGUUGGACUGAGACGUGUUCUGGGUCUUGAGUUGGUCUCUGAGACAGAGGAUAAUGUUAGAUUGAUUUGGGAUCGUUUGAAAGUGGCUUUUGACAGGAAAAAAAUUAUGCAGAUUUGAAGACGCGUGAGAUUGAGUAUUCUGUGGGGAGACUUAGUUUUUCUCAUGGUUUCGCGAUGGAAAGAGGUUCUGAGGUUCGGUCGUAAGGGCAAGCUGAGCCCUCGGUUUAUUGGACCUUACCGUAUUCUAAAAUGUGUGGGACCUGUCACUUAUAAGUUGGAGUUACCUUCGAAGUUGGACCAUAUUCAUGAUGUAUUUUACGUCUCGAUGUUGAGGCGCUACUGCUCUGAUCCUACGCAUGUUGUUUCUGUUGAGGAGAUUGAGGUUAGGCUAAACUUGACCUUCGAUGAAGAGCUGGUUCAGAUUCUGGAGCGUGAUGUAAAGGUCAUUCGGGAAAAUUCUAUUCCCUUAGUGAAGGUUCUAUGGAGUAAGCAUAGCACUGAGGAGGCCACGUGGGAGCCUGAUGAUGCGAUGCGUCAGCAGUAUCCUCACCUAUUCUGAUCAAGUAAAAUUCGAAGUCGAAAUUUUCUUUUUGGGGGUAGAAUUGUAACACCCCAAAAUUUCUAAUUUCUUUAUUGUGAAAAUAUGAUACAAAUAUCUAUCAGCUUUAGUGGUUCUGAGUUCUGGGAGUGUUUGGGAGGUCUCAAGUUCAAGCCUUCGCUUGGAAAAAUUUUUGUAUUUUGAAUGAUUUAGGCCUUACUCUUGUUCAGUAGGCUUUUAUUUGAUUGUUGGUAAAAAGUUAUCAAAAUGGGCAUGCAGGUCUGGUGGUUAAGCGAAGUGGUAGUGUGUAGGAGGUCCUGUGUUCGAGUCCCUACGCAAGUUGGGGAAUUAAUUUUUGUCUGAGGCGUGUAGCGUGGUGGAGUUCAAAUUAAACUGGAUUGUUGAGUCUUUUUGUUUUAGUGGAUUAGUAGGGAGCGUUUUUAGGAGAUAAUUGGGGAGAAGUUAUCAAAAUAAGAUUUUCUCCUUAUCAGUUUUCUAUUUUUUUUCUUUUCCCAACAAUUUUUCUGACGUUAGACUUUUGUUUCUCUAUCGUGUUUUCUCCCUUUUUGUUCACUUUUGGUUUUUGUUCCCCUUUGGCCGAAUCUUGUUUCUUUUCUUUCUCCUCUCUUUUCGUUUCUGUAUUUUUUUUGCAAGUCAUCUCUUUGUGUGCAACUUUCAACAUCAUCUAUUUCGGUAAGUGGAAUUUUUCCCUUUAGUUAUUGCAUUUCGAUUAGGCAGAUAACAAAGGGUUCAGUUUACUCUCGUUUAGGUGCUGUUCAAAGGUUGUAAUUAGAUAUUCCAGUGUGUGGAGACGAUUGGUUAUCAGAUUCGUCGGGGUAUGUUUUUGAAUCGCUGUUGGUUUAGUUUCUCGAGUUUUAUGUUGGGGAUAUUUGGUUGAUUGACUAAUCAAGUGAUUAAUUAAGGGAUAUAUUGGUCAAAUAUAGGUUUUUGAAGGCUCGAGAUACUUUGCACAGCCAAUCGAUACUAGGUGUGUACCCGAAACGCAGAAAAUGGGAUUCGACGAAACGUCAAAAUUACUUGCUGUCGAGAAAUUAGAGAAAAUGAUACGAAAAGUUGUUGAGGAAGGAAGUAAGGGUGUUAUAAACUUGGAAAUCAACAUUCUGUACUAAAAUAGUUUUGGACAGCAACAGUAGUCUAAUUUUGAAAAAUUAUCAAAAAUAGUGGAAAUUGAGUUAGAGGUUGAAUAAAAUAUAAAAUUAAAGUUUAUUGAGUCUAGUUUUUCAUGGAAGAAACAAUGUAGGCAAUGAAAUUGUAGGUUAUGAAAUAUAAUGAAUUUUGUGAGACAAGGUCAAAAUGGUUUCGGGUUGCCCUGUUCUGACUUUGGAAAAUCAUCAAAAUUUGUAAAAAAAAUAAUUAGGGGCUUAAAUAUAUACGUUUAAAUCCUUAAUGAGUCUACUUUUAGGAAAAACAGAUGGAAACAUCAUCAAAAUUUCGUACUAAGAGACAUAAUUUUUAAUAAGGAAAGGUUGAAGCUGUUAAACAGUAGAAUAAGGAUAAAUUUGAAGAUUAUACUGUACUUAUUUGGUAAGCUAUAAAUUCUAAAAAUUUUAUGGUAGAAAGGUAUUUGAGUCUAGUUUCGAAAACAUCAAGCGGAUCUUAAUUUGGAAUUUUGUAGCUCGAGUUAUAAAUAAUUUAGUGACAAUGACUCAAGUAGACAACUUUGAAUGAUCAUAUUAGUAAAUAGUGGAAACAUAUUUGGAUAUUUAGCUAGCAUGGAUUACACUAAAAAUGGAUCACACUGCCAAGGCCAAUUUGGGCUGAGUGGAGCACGUGGGCACACAUGGGCAUGUGGGCCCAUUUUUACUGAAAUGUUUCUAAGGUUGCACUGGUCGCCCAAGUCGACUGUGAACCUACUGUAAGGUCGGUAAGCGCUACUUAAACCCUUAAAUGUGUGAAAUUGACUGAAUGAUAUUUGUACUGAGCAUGUUACUAUCUGAACUGAAUAUAUGUACUGAAAUUGCAUAAUAGCAUAUCAUCCAUGGUAUGUUGCAUUACAUUGGGUUGGGGUUGUUAUUUUGAGGAAGUGUACUGAAAGGUUUUAAGCCUAAUUUACUGGUAGCUCAGCUGCAAACUACUAUUUUGUGCCGCAUUCAGUACUACUUGGAGUGUAGGGAUUGGUGGAUUGAUUAUAUCCCCACAUGGAGUGUAAGCUUGGACGAAGAUGGUGUGUAGAGGCUGGUUGGGUAGGAUUUUCCUAUUACUUAACUGUUACUGCUACUGAUACUGUGAUGGGCUAAGACCCUACUGCAUUUUUGACACUGUACUGAGAUGGGCUAAGGCCCAAACUGUCACUGAUACUAAAAAGGGCUUAGGCCCAAGACAGUUCAACUGUGCACUGUGAAUACUGAUUGAUUGUUUGUUUCCGCGGGAUUACACACUGAGUUUACGUAAACUCACCCUUGUUGUUUAAUGUGCAUAGGUAAUCCCAGACUUAGACGGAUCGGUGCGACGGAGGACUCAGCGUUGACCACAGUAAUUUUUGGACUUUAUGGUUUUCAAUUACGUUUUAUGAUUUGAUUAUUAUUGAUUAUUUGAGUUAUAAUUUAAGGACCUUCUGUGACUUUGGUUUUAAAUUUUGGGUUUUAUUUAUUUAUUUAUUUUACUUUAUUGAUUUAUACCUGCUGGUCAUAGGAAAUUCGAUUUUUAAAAAGUUAAAGUAUUUUCUAAACGCAUGAUCAUGUAGACUGUUUUAUUAAAGCUUCCGCAACAAGGGAUGUUUCAAAACAAAUGUUUUAAAUGAAUAAAGGCAACUUCCUAAGUUCUAACAAAGGUUUACUAAAGAUAAUAACAUGGAAUGUUUUCAUCCUAACAACGAGGUUUCAAAAACACUAUCGUGUGACAUUGCCAAAUACGGCCAUAACGUCUAGGCUGGGUUUAGGGUGUUACACAAUUUGGCAUUAAAACACUUACCCGAGGAUGAAAUCAGCAACCUCACAAUCUUAAUUCACUAAAGGGUUAAUCACCUCUCGAUUUCCACCUAAAACAAAACUCGCACAAUUAAAGAUACGAAACACCACUACACAUAAAUCCCCCACUUUAAAAAAAAGUAGUAGAAAUCCCCGAAAGUUGAAACCAAAAAAAAAGAUACUUACGAAAAAAUCUAGUUGCAAUCUCUUUAAUCAAACAUUUCCUUUUGAAAUUUAACGACACAAGGAUCAAUAAACAAGAAAGCAACGAAAAUUAGGAGACGAAAGAUUAAGAAAGAAUAAAGUUUGAGAAAUUCUCUUUCGUUACUGGAAACCAACGUGAAACAAACAAAUGAGAGAAAUUGGGAGAAACAUGGAAUAUGUGAAUAAUGGGGAAACAAUUUUGGGGAAAUAUUUUUUUAAAUAAUAAUAAAAUAAAAAUACAUCCAAACUAACCAGACCCACUAAUCUAAUCCCCAUCUAAUAGAUUUUCUAGAGUUUGAUUAAAACCCAAAUUCCCCAAGUUGCACGACAACAAGAAAAAUUAACAAAAAUAUUCCCACUUCCACAGGCAAUGAUUCAAACAUAAGACCAAAGGAUAAAUUGAAGCCUUACCAUUGAACUAGUAAGCUCAUUCUUGUCAAAAUUUGAGCUAGAAUUAAAUUUAUGUCUGAUAUUGAAAAUAGGAAUUGGGUGUAAAAUAACAAAAAAUUCAAGAAACAUGAUUCGAAACCAAAACCUCUUACAUACAAACAUAACACUUACCCACGAAACCAGAUUAAUUAACUUAGCAAAAAAUUUCACAAUCUAAACGUAAAAUCGGAACGUGACCCCUCUUGAUUCCAACAAUCCAAUUUCUUCUAACCCAAUUUUUGGGAUACGACAAGUUUAUUUAGUAAGCAAUGAAUUUCCACCAAAAAGAAGCUUUAUAAGAUCAUAUCUAGCCAUAAUAUACCAAAAUGACCUACAUUUAACAAACUAAAGCAUGAUCAAACCUUCGAAUAAGUUAAUAACCAAUACUCUUCAACCUAACGAAGUUACACAAGUAAACAAACUCUUAUUAUCAUGCAUUAUAAUGCAUAACUCAAGCAUUGAAAAUUCGUCACAGAGAACUUUAUAGGUUCGUUACUAAUCAAGCAUACGACAACAACCAAAAUAGCAUUAAAUCAAAAGACUUAACCUAGGUACAUGCCAUUAACUAACUAUAUGGACAAAGAGUGCAAAAUUAUAAUGAGUUAAGCUACUUAGUCUGGGAUACUUGUCGAACCUUCAAUCUAUUAGAGAACCUAAUUAGAACUUGUGCAUGGAAACAAACAAAUUCGUAUGCAAAGUAAUGUAUACUUAGUGGUGCUAUAAUAAUUUAAAAUCCAAACAAGUUAAAGUUAAAUUAAAAGCAUAAUUGAAAUAUAACAAUUUAUAAAGUAACAAACUUUACAUAAUUCACAUUCUUUACAUAAUAAUCACAUUAUUCAUUUGCCAAAACACCCUCAAGGUAUUCGCAAGACAUACUUGAAUAUAAGAAUUUUCGACGCACCCUUAGGGUAUUAGCAUCUCAUUUAACAUAAUAUAGCUCAAUUUCAAUUUCAAUACUUUAAACAUAAUCAAUGAUCAUUUAUAAUUCACAUUCAUUUUAUUUUCUUAACCCUCAUUAGCUAACUUGGAUUUGAGAACAGAUACACAGAUCAACCCACCAACAAUCUAGUAUACACACUGAAGUGCUAAUCGGGCAUAAAUGCACUGAUCCCACCAACCAUACCAAAAUACACAUGUACCUUAUGGUAUUUGAGCUGGUGAUAUGUUCUUGACUCAAAGAGCAUUAGAGAAUUGUCACUUAAUGAUACAUGCUCAGCACUAGAUCUCCCACCAACAAAAGGAACCUAAUGGCAUGCCAACUAUACUUGUAACUCUAUUUGAUGCUGAUAAUAGGACAUUAUCCGUUAUCAACCAUCACUCAAACAUAUAAUGAUCAAGAUAUCAUAGCAUUAUUAUAUUGUAAUACAAUAUUCACACAUGUACAUAUACAUAUUUCAAACAUAACCCAAUCGACUCAAUUGAUCAAAUUUAUUCAUACAUCAAAUUAUUCUCUAGACUAGAAUUAUUUGAUUAUAAUUAAUUACCUAUUUAAGCAUAAAUUGAAAUGAAAGUAUGUAAGCAUAAACUGGAAUAGCUAUUCGCGGAUGGCCUGUUCUUUUCCUUUAUCUUUGGACAUACCAGUGUCCUCUUUAUCUACGUUUGAUAAUCGAUUAUGGAAAUUCAUUAGUACACAAUUGAAAAAGGCAUAACUAACAAUUCAAGCAUGAAUGUAUGUUUUAAAAUUAGGUCUCUUCUUAACCCUAAGGUCCGACAUGCUAGUAUCUUUAGGUUUUCCUGAUCGAAUCUAAAUUCAACUUUGUAUAUAUACUACAAGAACCUCAACUUCCAAUCUAUAACAUAAACUUUCAAUAAUUUUUAUUCUAUUCAAUUUGGUCCUUAAUGUUUCAACAAUAUCUUCAAGUCUUUAAGCUUAAAUCAAACUUAUUCUUACAUCACCUAUUUCCCUACUAGCAUAGUUCUCACAUGCACCAAAUUUAACAAUUAAAAUUUCAUAGUUUCAAUUUAAUUUCACAAUGUUCCGUACAAUGAUAACUUAAAUGACCUCAUAUAAUAUUAACAUUUAAACAAUGGGUUAAUUAGAACUAGUUUCCUACUAGAGAAAUCUAUGAAAUUUAAGAAGAAAAAUAUAUGUUUACCUUGUUAAUUUGUUGGCUGAUUAUAAAGGGUGAAGCUUUGCCUAUUUCUUCUCUUUAAAUUCGGUUUAUGGAGAAGAAGAUGAUGAAGGCAUGUUUUCUCUCUGUCCCACUCAACAAUAAUGCCACUGAAGUCUAAAUGCUUAGUCAUCAUAAGGAUGUUGUGUAACAGCCCGGUUUAGACCCUAGUUGGAUAGUGAUUUCGAGACCACGAAUCCUAGUCAAAAAAAUAUUUUAAUAUUAUUUUUGGUGUCUACAGCAUGUUGAUUUAUAUGUGUAAAAAUUUCGCGUGAAAAUUUUAUCAUUUGUGUGCUCAAUUUUAAAAAAAAAGGACUUAAUCGCGUAAAUUGUAAAAGUUGUGUUCUUGGUGUAAUUAUUAAUAUUAUUAAUGGUUAGUUAGGUAGUAAAUAAUGUUAAAUUAAAAUAAAACAAAAUCUAUUGUCAUCUUCCACUAUUCAUCUUCACCAAAAAUUCAAGGAGAAGAAAGCCAUUGUUGGCUUUAACAUUCAGCCAAGCUCUCAUUGCUCAAAUAGGUACGGUUUUAGCUUUGUUUUUAAUGAUUUCUACGUUUUUGAGAUCAUUGCAGCUUAAUCUAGCUAGCCCGUAUCUUCGAGUUCAAAACUGUUAAAGUAUUUGAAUGUUGUCAUUGUUGAAUGCAUGAUUAUUUUGAUAGUUGAUGAUGGAAAAUAAAUAUUUGUUGAUAGAUUAAUAUGUUUAAUUAAAUGAUUUUUGAUAAAAAUAUGUAUUAAGGAUUAAAUUGUGAAAUUUGUGAAUUGAAGGGUCAAAUUGUGAAAUAAAUUGAAUAAAUGGGCUGCUAAGAAACUAAGGUAAAUUCAGGCCUAACACGGGUUUCUUGAAAUUUUGAGUAAUUUGUGUUAUUUUGAAAUAGGGACUAAAUUGUGAAAAUGUGAAAUGUUAGAGGCUAAAAUGAAAAAUGUCCAAAUUAUGUAUUUUUGGAUAAAAUUGAACGGAUAUGUUAUUAAACAAGCCAAAUUUGAAUUGAUUAGAUCAAGAAAAGAGGAGAUCAGAUUUGGAUCGGGGAAAAAUAAAAAAUUUUCGAAUAAUCGUUCAGUUCAUUCAUGUCCGUACAAGGUAAGUUCAUAAGUGAAUAAUUGUUGUUAAAUUCAUAUGAAAAUGUAUUUAAUUGUGCAGAGUUGAAUUUUAGUAACUAUAUAUGUGUAUGUCGAAUUAAUAUAAGUAUAGCAGAAGUAACUACGAGCUUGAAACGAGCGACUUACGACGUCCGAAAGCCCCGUAGGAAUAGUUAGGAUACACAUGUCAUGAAAUAGGAUUCCGAUAUGAGUUAUCGUGUAAGACCAAGUCUGGGACAUUGGCGUCGAUUUGAGAUUUACGUGUAAGACCAUGUCUGGUACUUCGGCAUUGUAUACAAUUUCGUGUAAGACCUUGUCUGGGACAGUGGCAUCGAUAUUUGUUUACAUGUAAGACCACAUCUGGGAUGUUGGCAUUGUAAGAGCUUCCAAGCUAUCCGAGUAUCCUUAAUGAUUCCAAACAGUUCAACGGGCAAUAACGAGAAAUGAAUGACUAUGUGAAAGUAUAUCUGAUUCAGGUACAUACGAAGUGUAUAUGAUAUUCAAGAAUGAAAAGUGAGUAUGUUUCAAAUGACGAUAUGUGAAAUACAUAACAAUGACUGAAAUGAAUGUAUAUAAAUGAACGAUGUGAUACAUAUGCUCGUUAUAUAAAAUUGUAAUGAAAUAAGCUUAAUUAUAUUCAAGAGUUCAAGUGCCAUGAAAUUGUGGUCCUAUGUUUCGAACAUAGGAUUUAUGAAAUAUGAAACAUGGUUUUGUGGUAUGCUGGUUUGGUUUGAAAGAUGAUUAGAUAAAUGUUAUUGAUAAGGUUAAAUUAUUAAAUAUGUUAUGUAUAUGUGAAAGAGUUAAAUAAUCAUGUUUUGAUUCGUUGGUUAUGUGUUUUGUAUGACCGAAUGUGAUAUAUAUUUGAAUGAGGAGUAUAUAUGGUUCGAACAGUGGAAUUAUGAAGCAUGUGUAAUAUGACUUUGAUGUGUGGUAGUUAGUUUGAAUUUUGAAUUGAUAAAUGAGAUUGAAAUGGUUGAGAUUUGCUAAAUUCGACCUAGUUAAAGUGAAUUAUAAAUAUAAUUGAGAUGAUUUAUUUGCUUAUGGCUUACUAAGCUUUCAACGCUUACUUUGUGUGUUUUUCCUAUGUUUAUAGAGUUUCGGAGACUUGCUCGGGUUCGAAGUCAUAGGAGACCCCAUCACACUAUCCGGUUAUCGCUUUGGUAAAUAUAAGCUUUGAGUUUUUGGUUAUGUGGCAUGUAUAGGCUAGUUUUGAUAUGUUUGGUUUUGAAAUUUGUAUAUAUGUAUAUAGCCAUGCGAAAAUGGCUUGAUCAUGAUACUAAUGUUGGUAUAUAUAUUCAGUCAUGUUAUAAGCUUAAUUUGGAGGUAUGUUUCAUGUUAAGUAUGUUUGUGAUGUUGGUUAUAAGAUUCGGCAAUGAGAGGUGUUAAUAAUGAUGUAUAAUCGGCCAUGAAAAUAGCUCAUUUUGGAUUUAUAAUUUGUCUUUUGUAAAGGUUUGAAAGUGGUAAAUGAUGUGUUUUUGACAUAAUAUAUAUGCUCACAUAAGUUAAGUUAUGUAUGUGUGACAGCUUGAAUAUUGAUUGUUAAAGUACAGUUUGUGAUGGUAAAAUAUGAACAUAUAUUUAAUUUAUUUGAUGGUCAUUUAGGUACGGUUAUAAAUGGUACAAUUAGCUUUGAUUCGAGUUGUGAAAUUGGUUGGAUUAUCGGAGGAUAAAUUUUAUGACCGAAUAUAUGGUUAAAAGAUCGAUUAUGUAUAUGUAUUUUGGAAAUGGUAAAGGGUGUGCUUUUAUAUUUGGCUAACAAUAGGUAAAAUAUGCUUAUACAUGCCUAUGAUAUGUUUUGUUCGUGAUUUUGGUAAUUAAUGGUUAAGUUGUUAAGUUAAAUGCUUGAGUUUAAAAUGUGCCAUAUAUGUGACUUAUGAAUUUGGUAAAUGAUAGAUAGGUAUUUGGGAUAUUUAUUAGUCAAGCGGUAUUGAAAUUAUGAUAUGAUUUGAUUUAGCUCUUAUUUAUAAAAUUGGUAGUUAUUAUUUUGGUAAAAUGUGCAUAAUUUAGUAAAACCAAAUUUCAUACUUGACCAUUAUGUGAAGUUGUUAAUGUCGUAUAUGUAUAUUAAUGUUUAAUAAAUCAUGUGGUUUGGCUUGACUUAGUAAAAUGUGAAGAAGUGCAUAAUUAUGAAUAGUGUUUUUGAAAAGUAUUUAAUGAAAUAGAUUUAUAUGAAUGGAUGUCUUAAUAUAUGAUUGGUAUAUGAAAUGAAUUAUACUUGUUUAUAAGUUAAGUAUUCGAUUGCCAUGAUUCAUUGGUUAUAAUGUUUGAAUAUUAAUUUACGUAGAGUAUGAAUUAUAGUAUCGAAGAAUGUUAGUUUGGUUUAAAAUUAUACUAGAUGAAUAGUAUUGAAAUGAUUAUAUUAUUUGGUACUUAAAUUGAAAUGAAUGUUUGUUCUGAGUUGUAUUUUGAUCGGUAAUGUCUCGUAACCCUAAUCUGGUGAUGGACACGGGUUAGGGGUGUUACAUGUUGACAAUAGUAAGAGCCUCAAUUGAAAGAGCAUUAAAUGCACCAUCAAGUUGUCUAGCACACCCCAUUUGUAUCAUUCUUUCUAACUUACGAACCAUUGAUCCAUAAGUCGUCGUUCACUUCCUAGCCAUCCAUGACAUAUCAACAUUGAUCUUCUAGUGUUCACUACUUAGGGCCUCCCACCUUUCAAUACUCAGUCCCCUAGGUAGCAAGGGUGUGCAUAAGAGGUUAUGCCCCCUAAAGUUCCUAUGGAGAGUGUGAGCAUGAAUCAGAGAAUCAUGUGGGGACAUAGUCUUUCCUUGAAUGAUCUCCAAGUUCCUUACUUCCUAAUCUUUCAUAAGACCACUAAAAGGCUUGUGAAAGCCUCAUUGAGCUCCCUCAUAGCAAACUGUAGCCAACAAAUCACAUUACAAAAAAGAAGCACUCAAUAAGUUAUUGUCAAUACCAAUCAAAAUCAACACCUCCUUGGAUAAAGGACAAUCACAUAUUUCAUGUACAAUAUGCAUUCUUAGAUCACCAUAUCUCUUACACUAAGUGUUAUUAGACAGAGUGAAAGGGGAACACUUCACAGUUGUCAGAAGAAUCUCAUAGCCCAUUCUAGAACUAAAUAACUUGGUCUUAGUUAGAGCCUUAAAUUUCCAAAUUUCCUUCCAAUAAGCCCUAUGUGGCCCAUACCCCCAAUGACUUAACAAGGAGUCAAUUAUAACCAAGCCUAGUUGAAUAAACCUCAUUCGACAUAUGUCCCCGAUCGAAUACAUCAUCACUAUUAUAAGCAUAAGUAGAAUAGCCAAAUACAAUCCAUAAUAUCGAUCUAGAAAUGAUCAAAGCUAGUUAUCAGUCCAUCUAGAUAUAUCAUCUACUAAAUGAUUAGAAAUUGUAGCACCAUGUGGAAGAGCAUCAUUGAACACAAGGUCCUUCGUAUUUAUGUCUUUCUCUCCCUAUUUAUCCAGUCACACCUUUGUUUUAUUCCCAUUGUUGGUAAAUGUGCCCAUAUUGUAGUAAACAUGUAACUGUUUUCUAUUUAUUUGAACGAUGAAUAAAUAAAUAAAGUUAAUUUCACAUUUCACUAUUAUGUCUUUUGUAUUUAUGUCUUUUAUAUUUUGCAGGCAUAACAAAACUGUGACAAGCAAAUAUUAGCUCAUUGAUUGUCCAGAGUUCAAAUUGAAGAUAAGUUGCAUUGUAAAGAACGUUUACAUUGCGAGAAAGAUAACUUACUUCAGUAGAUAAUCUAAAUAAGCCUCUAAUCCCGUAAAAGAAUCAAAGUGAGCAUUUGAUUCAAAUAUUGAGAAUGAUUAUUAUGCCGUCUACAAUUCUAAUUGGUGAGAUGGCUAAUCUUGGCUAUCAGAGCAGUUGACUCCACGAGUAGAAACAAAGAUGUAUUCAUUGGUAGAAUAAUGAAUUAAUUCACUUGUGACGUUCAUGGUGUGAUUUAUCUAAAUCCUGAGUUAGUCACUAACCAUUCGUAUGCAACUCAUGUGCUUUGAGAUAAGCAGAGGCUUAUGCUCUAAAUAUGAUUGGGCCCAUAGUCAGUAUGUUGAGUACAUGACUUGUGUAUAACAUGACUUUACUAGGACCAGUGAAAUGCAUAGCUCAAUUAAAGAGUUAAUGAUAUUCUCUCAUUGGCAUUGUGUGGAUUGAUAAAUAUGAAAUGUAGCCACGGGUUGUUUAUUCUAGAAUGAGCAAUUUAUUUCAGCUAUUUGUUGACAGCGAUCAUAUUAAUUAUUAAGAAGACACAAUGUUGACAAUGAGAUAAAAUAAGAUUGUAUUGAGUGAACGGAUUUAAAUCAAAGGAAUCAAUGAUACCGUAUGAGGGUAAUACACACAUGACGAGGUCAUUAGAUAAAACAGUUUGAUGAAUUGCUUUCGUAAAGAGUAUACAAUAAGGAGUUUCCAAUCAUGGUACUUCUUAUAGACUGGCUCCAUGAUUAAAUAAUUGUGAAUUAUCGAAACGAUGCUUCUGACAUAAUUGCAAUCACUAGAGCCUAAUUGUAUAUGUCUGAUUGGUCCCUCCACUAGCUCAACAAAAGCUCGAUUGGACUGCAUUUGAAUUAGAAGAAAAUUCUACAACUUUGGGAAUAAUUUAAUUGAGUCGAUUUAUUCGAUGUGGAAUUAAAUUAGGUGGUUGUAAGAAUUGUUCAAGUAGAGAAUUUGAUUAAAGAAUUUUCUUGAAAAAUUAAAUUGGAAAAUCUAAGUGAUUUUUGGAAAAAUUAAUUUUGAUCAAUUAAAAUUAAUAUGAUAUUUUUGGAACUUAAUUCUCAAGUCAAACAAUUGGUCAAAUGGGUAAUUCAUUUUGAAAAUUAGACCUGAGAUCGUAAAUUGGGCCUGGGAGCCAAAAACUGAGACCAAGACCCAAAAAUUGGUCGAACCUGGCUCGGCAUGUGAAACCAGGCCGAUUGUCCAAGCGGUGGUUGAACCGAACCGGUCAGGCCGUCAUUGAGUCAGACCAAACUGGCAACAGCUGAAUCGGCUUGGGGUGUUGUAAGGGUGUCGCACCUGCACCACCAGACAUGGCGGUGCUAAUGGCUGCGACGGCAGCGUCCUGAUGGCUGGUGGUGGUUGCUCAUCGGUGGUUGAGCAGUGGAAGAGUUACACUCCUACUAGGAUUCUACCAGAGAAUUUGAUUUUAGAUUAAUUAUUCCAAAAAUAAUAUUAUUUUAAUAGUUUAAUAUUAAAUUAAAUUUAACACUUAUCUUAAUAGUACUUUAUUAAUUUAAUAUUAAAUUUAAUUUAGUGUUUAUCUUGUAGAUAAACAUUCUACUAUUUUAAUAAGAUCUAAUAUUAAAUUUAAUCCACUAUUUAUCUUGAUAAUAUUACAUUAAUUUAAUAUUAAAGUGAUUAAGUUUAAUCAUAGUUGAACUCUCUAAACUCUCCCUAUAUAAAGAGAGCCUUGAGUUAUUAUUUACACACAUUUGAAUUCAAGAGAAAGUUGCAGAGAGAAAAUUCUUUGAAGAGAUUAUUUUAGAAAAUUUCUAGAGAUAUUUUUCUAAUUUACAACUUGACCCAAAACUUUAGAGUAAUUACAAAAUUACCACACUGAUAAUUUUUGUGAAAAUUUUCUAAUUCGAAGCGAGCCCACACUCGACAGACGUGAGCUUGAGGAUAGUGGAGAAGACUACUCGGUCGAAGCGCUCAUCCUAGACGAAUCGAAAAGGUAAAAUUUUGAUUAAGUGUUUAUUACUAUGUAUAUCACAACCAAGAUCUUGUUUUGGUAAAAAAAUUUAAAACUAUAGUUUUUCCCUAAAUUUAUUUUCCGCUGCAUUUUCUAAACCCGUUUUUUUUCCAACAAUAGGUAUUAAAGUUAGUUUUUGUUCUAUCUAUAAGUAUAAAUAGAUAAUAAAAAUAAAUUUCUCGUCUUUUUGAAUGAUUUUUUUGAAUGAUUUGAUUACAUAGAAAGUGACAAUACUUAUAUUUUAUUUUUCAUUUAUUUUCUAGAAAUAGAACUAUGGAAACUUUGACUGUCAAUUUUAUUUUAAUUACCUAUCUCAUUAUAUAUCUAUUUUAUGAUUGUUUAUAAUAUUUAUAUUAUGUAAUGUUAUAAUUGUGAUAUAUAUAUGAGAUGAUCCACAGUUGAUCGAUUAAAAAUAAGAAGUGUGGUAAUGAGAAAAUACAUGUCUUGUAUUGUUAUAUUCACUUCUUUAGAUCAUUUGAUAACUGUGAAAAGUUUGGUUAUGAGAAGGCUAGGAAAGACUUUGUUUUUAAGCAGUCAAAUUUGAGUCACCUCCCUUUCCUAAGGCCUUACCUGAUACACGAUUUGCCUUCACUUCUUCUAUUUUUUCCUUAAAAGAAAUAUUGUGGAAAAUCAAAAUUGUUUGUUUUUAUGAUUGAUUGAUUCUUGAGAAUGAAUGUGAAUAUUAAAAAAUUGCCAUAGCAUGCCAUGCAUAUAUUGGAAGCAUGUCAUUUAAAUUAGGUAAGAAUGCCACUAGGACUAUUGUAUGAUCAUUCUUGAAAUUUAGGAUAAAAAAAUAUUGCAUGUUUUUUUAAACUAUUAAGUGGGAGAAUAUCCUUGAACAAGACCUAUGGCCUCCAUUGAUAGUCCCUAAGUGAUAGAAUGAUAAAGUUUCGAGCCAGUUCAUAUUCCAACCGCACUCCAAGAUAAACUUUGUCAUGUGGGUUCAUUAGAUGAUAUUUUCUUUUAAGGACAACUAGUCAUGCAUGAAUUUCAGAGAAAUUGUCCUAAGAUGACUUACAAAUGAAAGCAUGUUCAUGAUGGAUGUUGAGUCAAUGGUUACACGCUCAAGAUCACCUCUUAUUAAAUAGUUUCCCAAGAAAAGAUAUUUAAGCUAGAGAUGAUGGUCAAACAUUAAACGGUCAUUAGUUCGUGUAAGAAUUAAGAUUCACGAACUAGUUAGAUGUAAUCCAUGUUCUUGCUAAUUAAUCAUAGGACCCCAAGUCGACAUGUUUGAUGAGUGUGAGAAUAAUCGUAGCAACGAAAUUUCUUUUCAAGGUUUUAAUACAAUACGCAUGCAUCAUAUUGUAUUCUUAUUAUGUUGCUAAAAUGAAAAAUAUUUGCUUAAUACAAAGAUAGUAAUUAGUGAAAUCCGUAUUUUUUUCAAUUCAAAUAUGUCUCAUACUCCUCUUAUUAGCAUUCUUAUUGAGAAUAAAUUAAAUGGGGAUAACUUUUCCGGAAUGGAAAUGGAACUUGCUAAUACUUCUCAGCUGCGAGAAACACAAAUUCGUUCUCAAUAGAAUUUGGCACUCCGAUCAAAUAACAUAUGUUUAAUCUUAUGGGAUUAUUUGUGGAAGUGGAGGAUAAUUGAGUUGAACUAGACGUGAACAUUCAAAUUGAAAUAGUGUUCAAAUCCUUAACUAAGGAGUUUGUUAGUUUUAGGGCCAUUUACAACUUGAGGAAUAAGGCACUUACCUUGACUCACUUCAUAAAGGAAUUACAAUCCUAUGAGUUGAUGAUGAAUGAUGGUAAGUCAGUUUAAGAGAAACCUGAGACAAACUUAGCUAUGGGCCUCUUAUCCUUUAAGGGAAAACAAAAAGAUAAGAGAAAGAAGAAACUGACUAAGUCUUUGGUUCCACCUCGUAUUGAUAGAAAGAAGGCUAAGAAGUCAAAAUAUCCUAAAAAGACCAAAUGUUUCUUCAACAAUAAAAGAGAGCAUUUCAAAUAAAACUGCAAGGAGUAUUUGUAUUACCUAUUUGAAAAGGGCAAAGGUACGAAACUCUUUGUGGUUAAAACUUGCUUAGUGGAAGAAUCAAUUAACAACUGGGUUAUUGAUUUUGGAGCCACUAACCAUGUGUGUGUUUCUUUACAAGGGUUCAGCGAAAUGAGAAGUUUGCGUGAUAGGAGCCUUUUUGUUGAGGACCAGAGAUGAGAGCUAUGUUUCAGCCGAAGCAGUGGGAGAAGUUAUUUUACAGUUUGAUCAUUUUAGGAAGACUGUUUUAAAGAACGUGUUUUAUGUACCUCAUUUUAGGAAGAAUUUAAUUUAUAUAGCAUGUUUAUUUUAUGAUAGUUAUACUGUGACAUUCAAUAAAAGGAUUGAUAUUCACAGAAAUCGUUCUUUAAUCUGUAAUGGAUGGAUGAAAAAUAAUCUCUACUUUAUCAAACCAAAUAACUACUUGAUGCUUUAAAUUGAAAUAGUGAAUAAAAAGCUUAAAACUUCUCACUCUAAUGAGGAGUACCUACGACAUUUAAGACUUGGUCAUAUUAACCAAGAAAGAAUCACUAGACUCGUGAAAGAUGGUCCUUUAAGUAUGCUUAAGAAAGUUAGUCUUCCACAAUGUGAAUCUUGUUUGGAAGGUAAAAUGACUAAGAGGUCUUUUAAUGCCAAAGGUACAAGGGCCAACCAACCUUUAGAACUUGUGCACAUGGUAUGUGGUCCCACAAACAUCAAUGCUCGAGAAAAUUAUGAUUAUUACGUGAAUUUUAUCCAUGACUAUUCUCAAUAUGGAUAUGUGUAUCUAAUGUACUGCAAAACCAAAACCUUUGAUAAAUUUUGAGAGUUUCGUGUGGAAGUGGAGAAGCAAUUAGAUUUAUCCAUAAAAAAUCUUAGGUCUGAUCGAGGUGGGGAAUAUUUGUCCAAUGAGUUCUUAGGAUUCCUCAUAGGGAAUGAGAUUUUAUCCCAAUUGAUUGCGCCAGGCACUCCACAACAGAAUGACGUAGCUGAAAGAAGGAAUAGAACCUUGCUUGACAUGGUUCGUUUAAUGUUAAGCUAUUCACAACUUCCUACUUCGUUCUGGGGAUAUGCAAUACAAGCGACUUGCUAUAUUCUAAAUGAUGUGCCAACAAAGUUUUCUUUAAAGACACCUUAUAAACUGUAGCAUGGAAAAAAACUCACUCUAAAUCACUUUAAAAUAUGGGGUUGUCUAGCACACUUUCUGGAUAAUGAUGCAAAGAAGUUGGAUGCACAGAUAGAAUUUUGCAUGUUUGUAGGAUAUACAAAAGGAACAAAAUGAGGAUUAUUUUACAAUCCGAAAGAUAAUACAAUUAAAUUUUUUACUCAUGCUACUUUUCUAGAGGAAAGCUACAUGGAUAACUUUAAGCCUCAAAGUAAAGUGAUAUUCGAGAAAUUUUCGAGAGUGGUAGAAUAAUCACCGACUUCAAUUCUUGAGAAAGUUGUAGACAAACCUGCAAAUGAUCAACAACAUAGGGGAAUUUGUCGUAGUGGGAGAGUUUCUAAGAAACUAGACUUCUUCAUCUAUGAUGGUAGUAUUUAUAAUACGGAAGCCAAUCAUGAGGAUGAUGAUCCACUCACUUAUGAGGAGGCUAUGCAGGACAUUGAUUCCAAGCUCUAGAAAUAGGUCAUGGAUGCCGAGAUGGAUUCUAUGAAAUCCAAUACAGUGUGGGAACUUAUAGACUUACCGGUUAGGAUUAAACCUAUAGGGUGUAAGUGGAUUUACAGGAAGAAGAGAAAUGCAAAAGGGAAAGUGGAAACACACAAAGCUAGCCUUGUAGGGAAAGGUUACACAUAGAAAGAAGGCAUUGAUUCUGAUGAGACCUUUUCUCUAGUAGCCAUGCUCAAGUCUAUCUGCAUACUCUUAUCCAUUGUCACUGUUCUCAAUUACGAGAUUUGGAAAAUGGAUGUCAAGACAACAUUCUUGAAUGACUAUCUUGAUGACACCAUUUACAUGGCUCAACCCACUAGCUAUGUUGUCAAAGAAAAGGAGAAAAAAUUUUGCAAACUGCUAGGAUCUAUUUAUGGACUUAAGUAAGCGUCCCGCUCAUGGAAUAAACGAUUUGAUCAAACGAUUAAGACUUUUGGAUUUGACCAAAACGUUGAUGAACCUUGUGUUUAUAAGCGUAUAAAGGACAAAAAGGUGAUAUUCCUUGUUUUAUACGUUGAUGUUAUUCUACUUAUUGGAAAUAAUGUAGGAGAAUUGUCAUCGGUUAAACUGCGGUAAGCUAAACAGUUUAGCAUGAAAGACUUGGGUAAAGUUAGUUAUAUUCUUGGAAUCCGAAUCUUUAGGGGUCUAAAGAAUAAAACGACAACUCUAUCUCAAGUUCCAUACAUCGAUAAGGUACUGGAAUGUUUUGCAAUGAUAGAUGCAAAGCCAGACGUUCAGCAAACUACAUUAGGUUUUCAUCUUUCUUUAGAUGAUUGUCCUAAGACAGCGAAAAAAAGAGAGUAUAUGAGUAAGGUUCCAUAUGCUUCAGAAGUUGGAAGCCUUAUGUAUGUGAUGCUUUGCACAUGGCCAAAUAUUUGUUUCGCAGUAGGAACGGUUAGCCAAUAUCAGGCGAAUCUUGGUUACAAGAAUUGAUAAGUUGUAAAGCAUAUAUUAAGGAACCAUGGAUUAUAUGCUUGUGUAUUCUGGGGAGGACCUUACCCUUGUUGGAUACACAGACUCAGACUUCAAAACCUGUAAAGACUCGAGGAAAUCGAUGUCGGGAAUUGUAUUCAUUCUAGGCCGUAGAGCCAUAGUAUGGAGAAGUGUAAAAAAAACUUGCACUGCUGACUCUACUAUAGAAGUCGAGUAUAUGGCUGCGUCUGAGGCAACAAAAGAAGCAAUAUGGCUUCGAAAGUUUUUAACCGAACUUAAAGUUAUUCCUAGUAUAGAAAAAGCUAUAACACUGUUAUGUGAUAACAGUGCUGUAAUAGCAAAUACCAAAGAAAUAAGAAGUCACAAAGGACAAACCACAUUGAUCGAAAGUAUCACUUGAUACGAGAGACAGUAGCCGAAGGAAUUGUAGAUGUGAUGAAAGUAGCUUCUGAAGAUAACCUUAUGGAUCUUUUUACUAAGACUCUUGUAAUUAGGAGUUUUAACAAACACGUUGAUGUUAUGAGAAUGCGAAACAUGACACAUUUACUUCACUAGGGCAACUGGGAGAUUGUUGGGAAAUGUGUCCAUAUUGUAGCAAACAUGUAAUUAUUUUCUACUUAUUUGAACGAUGAAUAAAUAAAUAAAGUUAAUUUCACAUUUCACUAUUAUGUCUUUUGUAUUUAUGUAUUUUAUAUUUUACAUGCAUAGCGAAAUUGUGACAAGCAAAUAGUAGCUCAUUGAUUGUCUAAAGUUCAAACUGAAGAUAAGUGGCAUUAUAAAGAACAUUUACAUUGCGAGAAAGAUAACUUGCGUCAGUAGAAUAUAAAUAAGUCUGUAAUCCCGUAAAAGAAUUGAAGUGAGUAUUUGAUUCAAAUAUUGAGAAGGAUUAUUAUGUCAUCUACAAUUCUAAUUUGUGAGAUGUCUAGUCUUGGCUAUCAGAGCUGUUGACUCCACGAGUAGAGACAAAGAUGUAUUCAUUGGUAGAAUGAUACAUUAGAUUGGACCCAUGAUGAAUUAAUUCUGAAUCUGUUUGAGAAUUAAUUCACUUGUGACGUUCAUGUCAUGGUGUGAUUUAUCUAAAUCCUGAGUUAGUCACUAACCAUUAGUAUGCAACUCAUGUGCUUUGAUAUAAGUGUCGAGCCCAUAGUUGAUAUAUUAGGUACAUGACUUGUGUAUAACAUGACUUUACUAGCAACAGUGGAAUGCAUAGCUUAAUUAAAGAGUUAAUGAUAUCCUCUCAUUGGCAUUAUGUGGAUUAAUAAAUAUGAAACGUCGCCAUGGGUUGCUCAUUCUUGAACGAGGAAUUUAUCACAGUCAUUUGUUGACAGUGAUCAUAUUAAUCAUUAAGAAGAUACAAUAUUGAUAAUAAGAUAAAAUAGGAUUGUAUUGAGUGAAUGGAUUUAACUCAAGGGAAUAAACGAUAUUAUAUAAGUGUAACACGCACAUGAUGAGGUCAUUGGACAAAGUAGUUGGAUGAACUACUUUUGUAAAGAGUAUACAAUAAGGAGUUUUUUCAAUCAUGGUACUUCUUGUGGACUAACUCCAUGAUUAAGUAAUUGUAAAUUAUCAUAAAGAUGCUUCUAAGCAUAAUUGCAAUCACUAAAACCUAAUUGUAUAUGUCAAAUUAGUCCAUCUGCUAGCUCAAAAAAAGCUUAAUCGGACUGCAUUUGAAUCAGGAGAAAAUUCUACGACUUUGGGAAUAAUUUAGUUGAGUCGAUUUAUUCGAUGUGGAAUUAAAUUAAGUGGUUGUAAGAAUUGUUCAAGUAGAGAAUUUAAUUAAAGAAUUUUCUUGAAAAAUUAAUUUAGAAAAUCUAAAUAAUUUUUGGAAAAAUUAAUUUUGAUCAAGUAAAAUUAAAUUAAUCAAAUCAAUUUAAAUUAAAAUGAUAUUUUUGGAAGUUAAUUUUCUAGUCAGACAAUUGACCUAAGGGUAAUUGAACUUGAAAAUUGGACCUGAUAUUGUAAAUUGGGCCCGGGAGCCCAAAACUGAGACCAAAAGAGAAAAACUAGUCGAAUUGAGCUCGGUAUGUAAAACUAGGUCGACGGUCCAACCGAUGGUGAGCUCUGACAGGUCUGGUCUUCAUUGACCUGGACCAAACUGACAACAACCAAACCAACUCGGGGUGUCAUAAAGGUGUCGCACCUACAUCACUAGACAUGACGGUGCUGCUGGCUACGACGACAGUGUCCCAGUGGCCGGCGGCAGUUGGUGUCACAUCCAAAAAUUAGUUUAGAAGAAAUUGGGUCUGUGAAACCAAGAGUGGUCAUGCCCUGAUUUUUUAGUUAAGAUUGUGAAAAUUUUAUCAAAUGAAUUGAUCUAGUUUAGUGGUUAGAUAUUGUGUUUGUGUGUGAAAGGUCCUAUCAUCAAAUCCCUUCUCUUAAAUUUUAUUUUCUAUUUUUGCUUAAACCCAUAUCUUUGAACUUGUAGGUUAAAUAAUAUUUCUGCACAAGUUAUGAUAGAAUAAGCCUGUUGGUUUAGUGGCAAGGUGUUGGCCUACUUAGAGGUCUUGUAUUUGAAACCCUGUGUAUGCAAAGUGGGGAUUAUUUUUUAUUUUAAAUUCGACAGAAAAAUCUUAUGUGGAUAAGGAUGGGAGUUAGUGGGGCAGUUUUAAAAAUAGUGAUGAGGGAUUUUCUCUUAAAAUACCUCCCUUACAAUCGUUCCUCACUCAUCCACUUUCUUUCCCUCUUUCCUAUUUUCUUUUGUAGAGUUUUGAUUUACGUUUUUUUUUUGUUUUCUCUGAAAGUUCUAUUGUUCUUUUUUCUUUCUUCUUCUUGUUUAAUUGUUCCCUCUCUGUCAUUGAUCCUAUGCUUUACAUUCCCAAUUUCUCGAUGUGUUGCUUGUUAGGUCCCUAUUGCUGAGCUCUUUUGGUUCAUUGCUCUUAUGUUGCUGAAUUGUUCUGUUUCAAUGUUCAUUGCAGGUUUCACUGUUUAACUAUGUGCUAGUGUCACGGGGCUAGACCUUUAGUCUCGCAAACCGUGCGGCCUUAGGUGAUCCGUUUGCUCCAAACUCGCCUAAGUCAGCCUUUACGCCCAAAAGUGAGGAUUCCUUAGAACUCCUCCAAGGCACCAAUUUGUAUAGUGGAAGCGAUUGUGCCAAAAGAAGCUACAAAAGAACAACAGAAAGAGCACUCGCAAAGUGUUUGAGUAAAUGCUUUCAAUUCUUGUGCUCAAAGCCCUCGUCUUGGCCAUUGUUUCCUCCUUCAAAGCCAUCAUCAUGGCCUCGAGAGCAUCAUUCCUGUCCGAUAGCUUAUCCCUGUGUGAAUUAAACAACUCGUUUACCUUAUCCAUGGUGGAACCAAGAGACAUCUUUACAUAGUCUCUAGACUGCUCCUUCCAGUUUGCUAUGCGAUCCUCGACCUCAUCGAGUGCCUCCUUUACAUCGUCCAUGGAUCCCUCGAGUUUUCCCACACGUUUCUCUACUGCCGAUAAUGUCUCCCUCAAAGACUUCCUCGCUCACCUUUGUUCAAACUCUUCUCCUGACAUCCCAACGGUGCCUUCGAACCAACUCGAAUAUCACUUGGUUCAAAACCGACUCUGAUACCACUUGUCACGAGGUUAGACCUUUCGUCUCGCAAACCGUGCGGCCUUAGGCGAUCCGUUUGCUCCAAACUCGCCUAAGUCAGCCUUUAUGCCCAAAAGUGAGGAUUCCUUAGAACUCCUCCAAGGCACCAAUUUGUAUAGUGGAAGCGAUUGUUUCAAAAGAAGCUACAAGAGAACAACAGAAAGAGCACUCACAAAGUGUUUGAGUAAAUGCUCUCAAUUCUUAUUCACAGAAAAUAAUGAAACAAUUCAGAAGUGAGUACAAAUGAGGGGGAGGCUCUCUAUCUAUAGUUGAGCUCCCCCAAAACCGAUUAUCAAGAUACAAUUACAUCGACGGAUGAGAUUUAACAAUAUCCCUUAAUUUUAGGGAUUUACAAGAUAGGCCUUAUCAAAUCUAAUCUAAUCUUUACAAGAUACGAUUCCCUCUAUCUUCUAAGAUUAGUUACCAUAUUAGCCUAAGUUGCCAUCUCUUCAUUAUCGGGCCAACUAGGCUUCAAUUUGACAGGCUUGUCCAAUAGCUCUUUGAAUCGGGCCAGUUCUCGUAGGUCAAAUGAUCCCCAUCUAAGCAAUAGACCCCCAUUGGAUGCAUUUGGUGCGAUGGUCACGGGCUUUGAACUGCGACCCGUGACACUAGUAAGGGGUGUGAUUACGUUGUGUUGAGGUUAGGAGUUCUAUUUUGUUGUAAACUUUCAAUUGAUGGGUUCGGUUUCCUUUAGGUGGUAUUCGUGAGGCGUAAGAUCUUUUGAUGGUAAAAAAACAGUGUAGGUUGCUGUCAAUUUUGCGGUUUCGAGAGUGGUCUAUUGUGUGGUUAAUUAGAAAUAGCAUCAGGUGUGUGAUUCUAACCUGAAACUACGUUAGAAACUCAGGAAAACUCAAAAGAGAGACUUUCGAAACUAUUCUACAUCAGACGGCCUUGUAGCAGGUCGUGUAAGCCACAUGGUCUAGGCUAUUUAGGCUGUGUAGGCCACACUGGUAUAUGGGCCUAUUUUCUAAAAAAAUUCGCUUAGGACCAUGAGGCUCUAAAAGUUGUAAUUAGACAUUCUGCAAGGUUCGUUUGGCUUAAAUAUGAUUCUAAAAUAUGAGGUCUGAUAUUUUUCAAAUGUGCAUGAUAAGGAUAAGGAAUGAUUAAAAUGUGAAAUUUGUAUAUGAUUUGUAACUUGAUAAUUUUGUUAGUAUUUUCUAAUGUGAAAAGCAUGUAUGACAUAUGUGCAUAUGAUGUCUAUUAGUAUUUACAUGAUCAUUGGGGUGGGAUAUGAUAUGUGAUGGAGGAAGUGUGAUUUUGGCAAUACUAUUGCAUGUUCUGGCGGUGUAUCUGCAAUAUCAGAUAUGGCAACUUGGUUGCAAUUUUAGUGGCUUAAACACAUAUAUUUGAUUCUUGCGAAUGACCAUAUUUUUUUCUUUUGGCGGCUCGGCUACACUUAUAUGAGUGGCAUACCAUCCACGAUUGGAUGGAUGAACUUUUUUAGUCCUAAUUGGUGUGAUUGGUCGGACGAAGUUGGUGUAUAGCGGAUGGGGGUAGGAUCUGUGUCUAUAUUUGUUCUGGUCUGACAUGACAUUCUAGUCUAAUAUAUGUUUAUAAAAAUAUGAUAAUCUGAUCCAAAAUAUGUUAAAAAAUAUGACCUUGUGAUAUGAUAUUUGUUUAUGGUAAUACAACAUUUUGACAUGAUAUAUGUACAUUGUAAAUAAAAUUUUGUGAUGACAUUUACAUAUGUGCUUGUUAAAUAAAAAUUCUGCUUGUGGGCCAAGUUACACACUAGGCUUCUAGCUCAUUCGUUUGUUUAAUACGUUUCAGGUUAACUUCCGACUUAGGACCGGAUGGCGUGCGAGAGCUCGGAUUGGUUUUACGCUUAAGUUGGUUUGAUUAUUUUUAAUUGAUCGAGUUUUUUUUGGACUUUUGAUUUUUUUGAACUAAGUUUUUGGUUUUGGUUUUUUGUUUCGGUCAUCGGCUUUUGGUAUUUUAACAUUAAACUGCAAAAUCAUACGGGUUAACAAAAAUAGAUUUCAAUUUUCAAAACUAAAACUCUGAUAAUUUUUCGAUGCAAGAUUAAGUAAUCAGUUAUGUAUUUUCUGUAAAUAAAAUAUAUACCAACGUUAUUACUCUCAAAAUACACGACUUGGAAUUUGAAUUCUGGGUUCUAAAUCGGUGUUUUCGAACUUUGGUUUUUCUAAUCAUUCAUGAGAGUUUUUGUCAAAAUUUUAUGUUUUUGAAACGUGUUUUUAGUUUUAUUAAAAUAAAGUCUUUUACACAAAUUAAUGUAAUUCCUCAAUAUUCGGUCACAAUUUCUAGGCCAGGUUUGAGGUGUUACAUUUAGUGAUAUCAGAACCAGGUUGUAAAACUCAGUCUGUGGUUUUUUUGUUUUAAAAUCCUAUGCAUAAUGUGUUUUGAAAUUUCUGAUUUUUAAGGAUUUUUUGGAAAUCUAAUGUGGGUGAAUUUGCAAAAGAAAAAAAUUACUAAAGUUCUGAAAAUGUGAAUCCAAGUCUCUGACACCGAUCCAAGUAAGUAUGUAUACUUGAGUUAACUAUACUUUACUUACUCGUACUUUAGUACUUUAGUAAAACUAUUAGAUUUAGAUAUUGUAAAAUAAGAUAUUUCUACCUUAAGAUACGUAUACUGACUAAACUUUAGAUUUAAGGUUUAAAAAUAAACCUAAGCUAAACUUUAGGACUCCUGAACUAUAGAAAGUAAGAUGAGUUUCUAUGGUAUAUGUGAUCGUGGAGAGCGAGAAUGUGGCAGACGUUGUCAAAUGGCUCACGCCAAGUCCUCUUCUCUAGGCAGCAUGCCUAAUUUGAGAAAUUAGUGAUACUAUUAAGGCGCCCAUUUCUGAGGGCGAUAGUAAGGAAGCUGGAGAAGAUGUUGUGUCCCAGGAUAUGUUUAGAGAUCUGCAAAGGACCGUUGAGGUUUAAUUUGUACCUGUGAGUUGAGGGUUUGUAACCAAGCGACUUCAGUCGAAUUAGACCAAGUUAGCGGAAGAGAUUAAAUCGUUUAGAGAACGUGUUUUAGAUAUGGAUUCGUAGAGCAUCAUGUUAGGGACUAUUCACAACAUUCUCUAAGUUAGAUACAAGCUUCAACUUAGAGAGGGAAUUGGAGAUUGGUUCGUACAACUAGGCGUUGUGAGGAUUGAGAUGUAUUUGGCUGUGAUACAUUUAUAUCUAGAAUCGUACCUUGCAUUGAUUAAGUGUUUGGUAGCACUUAAGUGUUUGAUUGUCAUUGGAGUUUCUGAGACUUUGGGAUUUUGAAAUCGUUAGUGUUAUCUCUAUAAAAAGUUUCUGGAGACAAUUCGAGUGACUGAGUAAGAAGUUCAUUAGAAAUAUUGUCUGAAUUGGGAGUGAAAUAUAGUCAACUUUGCAUUGUAAUCAGAUUUGCAUAGCGAUAGCGUGGUGAUAAGUGCAAAUAGGAAAAUUUUAGUUAUUGUGGUUAAGUGUAUGGUGUGAUAGCAGUAAUUUUGAGGACAUAAUUUUUUUGAGGAGAGAGUUGUCACAUCCCAAAAAUCAAGUUAGAAGAAAUUGGGUUCGUGAAACCAAGAGUGGUCACACCCUGAUUUUUGAGUUAAGAUUGUGAAAAUUUUAUCUAGUGAAUUGAUCUAGUUUAGUGGUUAGGUAUUAUGUUUGUAUGUGAGAGUUCCAGUCAUCAAAUCCCUUCUCUUGAAUUUUGUUUCUAUUUUUUUUCUUAAACCCCUACCUUUGAACUUGUAGCUUAAAUAAUAUUUCUACACAAGUUAUGAUAGAAUGAGCCUGUUGGUUCAGUGAUAACGUGUUAGCCUAUCUAGAGGGUCUUGUGCUCGAAAUCCUGUGUGUGCAAAAUAGGGUUUUUUUUUUGUUUUAAAUUAGGAAGAAAAAUCUGAUGUGGAUAAGGAUGGGAGUUAGUAGGGUAGUUUUAAAAAUAGUGAUGAGGGAUUUUCUCCUAAAAUACCUCCCUCACAACCGUCCCUCACUCAUCCAUUUUCUCUCAUUCUUUCCCAUUUUUUAUUGACUUUUGAUUUACCUUUUUUUUUUCUCUAAAAGUUUUGUCGUUCUUCUUUUUUCUUUCUUACUUCUUGUUCAAUUGUUCCCUCUCUAUCAUUGAUCAUAUUCUUUAUGUUCCCAAUUUCUCAAUGUGUUGCUUGUUAGGUCCCUAUUGCUGAGUUCUUUUGGUUCCUUGAUCUUAUGUUGCUAAAUUAUUGUGUGUCGAUGUUCAUUGCGAGUUUCGCUGUUUAGCCAUGUGCUAAUAAGGGGUGUGAUUAUGUUGUGUUCAGGUUGGGAGUUCUAUUUUGUUUGUAAACUUUCAAUUGAUAGGUUCGGUUUCCUUUAGGUGGUAUUCGUGAGGCGUAAGAUCUUUCGAUGGUUAAAAAUUGUGUAAGUUGCUAUCAAUUUUGCGGUUUUGGGAGUGCUUUAUUGUGUGGUUAAUCAGAAAUAGCAUCAGGUGUGUGAUUCUAACCCAAAAUUACAUUAGAAACUUGGGAAAACUUGCAAACAAAGACUAUUUACAAAACUGUUCCACAUCCGUGUGGAAGAUCGUGUAAGCCACACAGUUUAGGCUAUUUGGGCCAUGUGGGCCACACAGGCUGGGCCAUUUAGGCUGUUAGACUCUAAAAUUCAUAAUUAGACCUUUUGUGGGGUUUGUUUGGCUUAAAUAUGAUUCUAAAAUAUGAAAUCUGAUAUUUUUCGAAUAUACGUGAUAGGGUUAAGGUAUGUUUAAAAUGUGAAAUUUGUAUAUGAUCUGUAACCUGAUAAUUUUGUUAGUAUGUUCUAAUGUGAAAAGCAUGUAUGACAUAUAUGUAUAAGAUGUCUGUUAGUAUUUGCAUGACAUUGGGAUGAGAUAUGAUAUGUGAUGGAAGAAGUGUGAUUCUGGCAGUAUUAUUGCAUCUUCUGGCGGUGUAUCUGCAAUAUCAAAUAUGACAGCUUGAUUGCAAUUGUAGUGGCUUGACCACAUAUAUUUGAUUCUGGCGAACUACUGCAAUUUUUUUAUUUGGCAGCUCAGCUACAUUUAUAUGAGUGGCAUACCAUCACGACCCGGUGUGAUUGGAUGGAUGGACUUUUUAAUCCUAAUUGGUGUGAUUGGUUGGAUGGAGUUAGUGUGUAGCGGAUGGGAGUAGAAUCUGUGUUUGCAUUUGUUUUGGUUUGACAUAACAUUCUAGUCUAAUAUAUGUUUAUGAAAAUAUGAUAUUCUGAUUCGAAAUAUGUCCGAAAAUAUGACCUUGUGAUAUAAUAUAUGUUUAUGAUAAUACAACUAAAGGGUUAAAAAUUUAAAACUAAAAUGAUAAAAGAGUAAAGCUAUUUUUUUAGGUAAAUCAUAACAAAUAGAGAACAAAUGUCACACCUUCUAAAGUUAGGCAUGGGUGGAAAUCAAAGACUUAGCUGGUGGAUUUGCGCACAAGAGAAACAGAUCCCAGAAACAUGAUUUGCGCUAAGAUGAAUACAAGUUCUACGUCACAUUUCAAAAUACACCAAAUCACUCAAACAUGUGUUAAAAAUCUCUGCCUCAAAUCUUAUACAGUUCAGAAAAUAUGCCACGAUAAAAGGCCCUUAGAGGAUGUAUUUUAUUUUUUUAUUAAAAAAUAAAAAAUUAUUCCCUACCAAAGAGUAAUAUAAUUUUUUUUAAAAUAUUAUUUAUUUUUACUGUUAAUAACUGAUUUAUCUAUGUCAGCAUAAAAUACACAUAAUAUAUUAUAUGUAAUUGUCUAGUUAUUCCUUCAAUUACAUCAAUUUUUAACGGUAGAUUUGGAUAAAAUUAUUAACAAAAACGAAUAAUUUGCUCUUUAAUCAAAUAUACAAGAAUUAAUUUACUAUUUUUUAGUGAAAGAAACAAAAUACAAUCUAACUCUUAAUAUAAAAACCUCCAUAAUGCUUUUACUGCUAAAUUAUUUAUAAAGGGACCUAAUAAAUAAUUUUAUAUGAAGAAUUAGAGAAUUAAUUAUAACCCUUUUGAAAAUAAAAUAGUUUUAAUAUUUGUAAGUGUAAACAAAAUAUUUAAAAAAAAUUAAAAGUAUUCGAAAGAAAAAGGCAUCAUCCCCCAACAAUUUCAGGAUUGUAUUCUUUUUUCCUUCAAGUUCAACAGUAGUAUAUAUUUUUUGUUUUUAUUAAAUUUCUAAAUAUAAUCAACUUCGUCAUAUUUUUAAUAUUUAUAUUAUAUUAUAGUGUAUUUAAUUUUAAUAUGAUAUAAUUCACAAAAUUUAAAAACAAAGCAGGAUCAAAUUUUAAAUAUUAAAUAUUAGAGCUACAUGACAUAAUUUAAAUUAAAUCUAAUUUUUAAGUUUAAUAUUUUUUUAAAUCUUUUUAAAUACCAAGAGAGUGUUUUGAUUUGGAUGAAUAACUCAACCGUUAUAUACAAAGAUAUAACUUACUCUUGUAGUUUAUUUAUAUAAAAAAUGGAUUAAAUAUAAUUAUUUGUAUGUAAAAGUUAAAUAUGAUAUUGUAAGUAGCAUUUAAAAAAUUAGAAGGCUAGUGAGUUUGCAAGUUAAUUUAGCAUUAUUUUUUAAGAGACUUUAAAAGAUGUGAUUUAAGAAUUAAAAUGUUUAUUUUAAACAUUAUAAAGUUAAAAUUAUUAACUUUUUUAUUUGAUUUAGGUUUAAGGUCUGUUUGAAAGAUAGGUUUAGCUAAAAAAAAUGGCUUUAGAAGUAAUUCUUAACAAGACCUUAAUAGUAAGAUAAAACUCUUGAAAACUUGGAGAUUUUAAAUUUAAAUCUAAUCAUUUUAUCAAUUAUUUUUAAAUAAUUAAAAGAAGAAGGAUUUAAGAGUAUUAGAAAGAAAAAGGCAUCAGCCCCCCAGAAGUCCAGAAUUGUCUUCUUUCCUUCCAAGUUCAACAGUAGUAUAGGCUCAAAUUCAAUUAAUGUGUACUGGUGAUAAUGUGAAAGCUAAACUCAGCACUCCACAGACUUUUCUCCCCAAGACUUUGACAUUGACUCAUCAAUUGGGUCAGGAAGAAAUGAUAAAUUCAAUGAAAAUAAAGCAGGUGAAUGUUUUAAUUAGCUUAUUUUGUUUGGACAUAUAAAAUAAGUUAAUCCAAAUUAAAACUAAAUUAGUGUUUAUGAAUUGUGUUAAAAGAGAAAACACUGUCCAUGAAUUCACGACGACUUUAGGUGUUCAAGUGUUGCUUAUAAAAUCAAAGAGGGAAAAUAAUGAAAAUAGAUUAGCAAUAUUUUCACGAUGGAGAAACUGUAAGCCAUACUAAUUUAUCAUUUCUUCCAACAUAAGUAAAAUAUUACCUUAAUUUUAUCUAAUAUUUUAUCAUUAUUCUUUUAUUCAGAACAGUACUUGACAGCAAAAAGAAUCACUUAUUUGCUGCCAGUAGAGAGUAGAUACACCAUUAAGCAACAUUUAACACUUAGGAUAUGGGACUCCACAAGUCGAAGCAACCUUUUUAGCGUUAGGACUGUUGACAUACUGUUUAAGAGAUGGGUUCUUAAUGUAUCCACAGAGGCAUGGCUGCUGCGCCUUCAGCUUGCUGCAACAAGCGCUUGAUGGAGGCGAGGACGACAUAAGCGCCGGCGAGCAGGGGGCAAGCUCCACGGGAUUACAUGUCACUGCCUCCGCCGUGCGACUUUCACCCGAAAACAGCACCACCGCGAGUGCCACCACACCCAAGGCAACAAAGGAAACCCUCUUCAUAAUUUUUUCCCCCUACACAAGCUGCUAAUACAAAGAAAGCAAAGAAGUUAAAUGGUAUUGGGUACAUUCUGGGGGACGAUUUGAGGCUCAAUUUAUAGAAGUUGGGAUUGGUAACUCCUCAGACGUUACAGUUUGCACCAUCAUUUACGGAUGUUAAAACUUGGAAAAAAUGGGACUCCGUGGAAUUGAAGGAGGUAGAUCCCACCAUCUAUACUCUCUAAGUAAAUGGGAGAAAGGCCCCUUGACACAUGUCCAACUUCAAUUAUUUUUUUUGUCAAGUUGUAAUUUUGAUUAUUCUAUUUAGGGGUGAACAAAACUCAAUUUGACUCGAAAAAAUCGAAAAAAAAUUCAAAUUUUGAGUUAAAAGAAUCGAGUUAUUCGAGUUAAUCGAGUUAUUUGAAUCAACUCGAAUUUUUUUCGAAUUUCGAGUUCGAAUCGAGUUGAGUUUUCGAAUUCGAAUAAUUCGAAUAUCAAACUAUAAUAUUUUACAUUUUUACCCCAAACUCCCAAACAUUUUUACUUUUCAUUCAAAACUUUUACUUCUUCCCACUUUCCCUCCAAAACUUUUACUCCCCUCCCCUCCCCUCCCCUCCUAACCCCCCAAUCUACCCAAAAUCCAUUUCCCACCAAAAUUUUAUUCUCCCAUUUACUUUUUCUCAAAAUUUUACUCCAAAAAACCCUCAAAACCUUUUAUUUUCUCCCAAAAUUUUUACUCCCUCUCACUUUUUCCCUAAAACUUUUAUUCAUUUCCCAUCCCACCUCACAUCUAACCCAAACCCUCCCCCCUCCAAUUUUUUUUAAUAUUUUCCCUCCAAAAUUUUACUCCUCCAUAUUUACUUUCCCUCAAACUUUUAUUCCCCAAAACUUUUUAUUUUUCCCUUAAACUUUUACUUCUCACCCUUUACUCUCAAAUAAAAAAUUAAAAUUAUCCCCCAAAAAAUCACUAAACAUAAAUAGUAAUAAUUUUAUUUAUAUCUACUAUUUAUAUUAUUAAAUUAAAUUUCACAUUUUAUAUUAUUUUUAAAUUUUAUAUUAGUAUCAAUUUCACAUUUUAUUUUUAAAAUAACUUUUAUUAAAAAAUUAUAUUUUUACAUUUAAUAUAUUUUUUAAUUCUAAAUUACAUAGUGACAAGAAUCUGAAGAUAAUUGAAACAACUAAGCAAGCAAAGAAGCUAACCAGUAUAUAAAAAAUUAAUAAAUAAAUUAUGAGGUGAUGAAAGUUAAUAAAAAUUUUGAUUAAGGUGGACAAAUUUUGUUAUGAUGGGUGACAAUGGUUAUAAGGACCCAAAAUUAUUUUUUAAAAUUUAACUCGAACAAAUAUAGUCGAUUCGAUUCGAUUCGAAUUUUAUCUCAGUCGACUCAAUUUAAGAAAACUUCAAAUAAAGUUUGGAUGAUAAAAUGAGACUCAAAAACUCGAUUAACUCGAAAAUUUUCGAUUCGAUUCGAUUUGAUCGAAUGCUCACCCCUAAUUCUAUUACACCCAUAUUAAAAUUUAAAUUUUUACAUUUUAAUUUGAUAAUAUAUGAUAUUUUAUUUUUAUAAUCAUUUAGUGCAAAUUGCGAAUAUUUUUAAUUGCUUUUAUUAAAAUGAUGUCGUAAUUUUUUUAAAUUCAUUAUUAAUAUAAAAAAUAUUUCAGUGUGAUCAAUUAGAAUAAAUAUUAAAAAGACAAAUCAAUUUUAGUAUUUUAAUUAGAAUAAUUAAAGCGGUUAGUAUUAUAAAAAUAGAAAAAUCAAAUUAUGUGAAAUUAAAAUAUAAAAAUUUAAAUUUAAAUUUAAAUAUAGAAAGAGAUUAUAAUCAUAAUGUUACUUAAAAAAAUGUAUGUAUCAUUUGAUUUAAUAAAAUUUUUUGGUAUAUAUAUUUUUUAAGAAUAAUUGUAAUUAAAUUGAUUGGAGUAGUUUUAUGUUUAGCCCAAAUGGGUAAUGGGAAUUUGCUAAAAUGUUGGCACCUGUCUUAAGUAACCAGCAACAUUGGCAAGCAAACGAAAUUACCGGUUGUCGUCACUCGUCAUAGUGAACAAAACAAUAGGUUUGAUCGAUAAAUAUUAUCCCACACUUGGACCUCUACUGUGGAAAUCUAGAUUUAAUGAUUAAAUUGAAGUUUGAUUUAAUUAAAAAAUAAAAAAAUCAGGGUUGGAGAACACCCGUACCAAAUAAUAUUAAUCCAAGUUUCAAAUUAUUUAAUUUAAAAAAAUUUAAUUAAAGUUUGUACUUCGAAUUAUUUUAUCCUCAUCUAUUAUAAUAUUAUAUAAAAAAAUUAAAAUUUGUAAACCAAAAUUUAUUCAAGCAUGGAAUUGACAUGUUCAAACAUAAUAUUAAAAUUAAAAAGAACUGAAUUUUAGUUUAAAUAGUUUUUAGGUUAUUUUUUUCCCUGUUAUACAUGGAAGUUGUGGUUGUAGUGUUGUACUUUAAGUUGGUAAAGUUUAGUCUUAUGAAUUUUUAAAUUUCAGUCAUGAUCAAACAAUAAUUAUUAAAUUUAUUAAAUUAAAAAAAUCUGAUAAUUUCAUGUCAACUAGCUAUUUACACAUAUCACUCACUAAAAAAUUAGUUAUGGAUUUAAAAUUUGUCAUUUGCGUCAAGACUAAAAUUUUGAAAUUCCAAAAUUAUAAAGAUUAAUAAUGGUUUAACUGGAUAAGAUCGACUAAAUCUUAAACUUUAGGCAUAGUACAAGACUAAUGGCAAAAUUUAACCAUAUAAAUUUAAUUGCUACAAUUUAGUAAGGACUAAAAUUUUAAAAUUCGAAAAGUACAAUAACUAAAUUGACUAACUCGUAAACUACAAGGAAUAAAAUUUGCCUUUUUUUUAAAGUAAUGCUCUUUAGAGAUGAAAUAUCAUAAAUCAAGAUAAGAUAUCAUCUAAGACAAGCCAAUGGAUGAUAUUCGGAUAAUCCAAAUCGAAAGAAAUGUCCACAUUCUCAUCAAAUGCCCAAUGGGCUAGAGGAUAGGUAGCAUUAUUGACCGAAUGUCAAGCACAAUAAAGAAAAAUCAAACCACUCAUGCAAAGUACAAGCCUCUUUAAUGAUUUGACUUUAAAUAAACUAGUCCAAACUACUACUAUUAAGUUUGUUAACCACUAAACAAUCCAGCUCAACAAUAAUGUCUUAGAAGUCCAAAUACUUAGCCAUCUUAAGGGUGUUAACAAUACAAGUACCUAGGCUGAAACAGUAGUAAAUGCACCAUCAAGCUGUCUAGCACAUCUUGUGCGUACCAUGCUUUCUAACUCAUGAAUCGUUGCUCCAAAGGUCGUCGCUUGCUCCUUAUCUAACAUAUCAACAUUGAUCUUGAAAUGCUCACCAUUCAUGGCCUCUGAAUACCUCAAUCCCCUAGGCAGUAAGGGUCCGCAUAAGAGGCUAUGUACCUUGAAACUCCUUUGGAGAAUGUGAACACGAAUCAAAGAAUCUUGUGGGGACAUAGUCUUUCUUUGAAUGAUCUCUAAGUUCCUCACUUCCUAAAGCUUCCAUAGGACCAUUAAAAGUCAUGUGAAAGGUUUUUUGUUGAGCUUUCUCAUAGCAAAGUCCAAACAAUCAAUCACCUUACAAAAAGAAACACUCAAUAAGUUAUUGUUAAUACCAAUAAAAAUCAUUACCUCUUUGGAAAAAAGACAAUCACGAAUUCCAUGUACAAUAUCCUUUCUUAGACUACCAUAUCUCUUACACUCAUUAGACGGAGGAAAAGAGGUGCACUUCACAAUUGUUGAAAGAAUAUCAUGGUUUAUUCCCCAACUAAAUUAGUGAGAUCGCCAUGACUCCAGAAAUUUUGACGUCAUGACACCACUCACUUUUGAUCUAAGUCACAACAUUGGGGACUUUUCGUCGCGAUGUCAUCGUUGUUUUGGAAAAAAUCACUUUGGUACACAUUUCAUGCUUCCUACCAAAUUUUAUACAUUUAUAUGUUGCUUCCAAAUUCAACAUGCCAUCAUUUCAUGUCAGUCUAUACCAAAUGAAGUAUAUGAACAUUUGAAUCAAGUAUUCAAUAUGGCACAAAACAACGAUCAAAAUCUAUGCAUAUCCAAGACAUUCAUCAACCUUAACAUACCAUGUUACUUCACUUUGUAAGAUUUAACAUAUAAGGCUUAUGCAAGCUUGAAAUCAUAAAUCCAAAUGGCAUCAAAUAUGAUCAAAACUAAGCACAAACUAGGCUAUAUAUCAAGCUUAACAUACAAACUAAACCUUAGCCACAAAUACAACAUUGACAUUCACAAGUAAAUAUGACCAUUUACAUAAUAAAGACCCUAUAUACAUGCCACGAUAUUUGGACUCAAAAUGAACAUAAUUCUACCAUCCUGUUAAUGGUAUGUUAUUCACACUUAUCCAGCUUGGUGAGUUUUGCAGAUUAAUGCUUAGUAUGUUGUAAUGGAAUUUACAACACUUAGCUUGCUCAUAGGUAAGCAUUUAAUGCUUUGUAUGUUCAAAUGAAAUUUACAACACUUACCUUGCUCAUAGGUGAGCAUGUUACUACCAAAGAUUAGUCGUACAUUUGACUAGAACAUAUCAUAUAGUGUCACAACAAAGUGAGAAUAAUAGGCAUAGGUACACAUAAGUGUUAGGAAAUCUAACAUAUCCAAAACAUCAAAAAUUCGUACCAAACCAUAUAAGAUCAUUACUAUUCUAUAUAUGAUCAUUAAUCCACAAGUUCAUACCAAUUCAAUUUGAGUCACAUAUCAUUAUAACAUAUCAAAUUUGGUUUGUUUCCCUUUUCUUCAAUUUCAAGAUCCACUUUCAAUAUUUUGCCCAAUAGAACCCUAGUAAAACAGACUCAGACACGUGGGUGAACUACACCACACUAAGAUAGCUUGAAUGAGCAUAAACUACACCACACUAAUGCACCAAAGUGUAAAGCUCGUAGGCAUAAAAUGUUUACACAUAUUCAUAUAUAUCCCUCUACCACACUAAGGUCUCUAUGAAGACAAAUAAUACUCGAUGAUUCGCAAUAGAUGUUGGAUCUCAAAAUAAGCUAUCAUAAUCUCCAUAUCAUCAACUAUCCCAUACACAAGCGCGCAUAUGACGAACAAAAUAGAGAAUAUUUAUUUAGCAGUUAUUUGAGGGGAUUGGAAAUCUUUACAAGAUUUGUGAUAAACUACUCAUAUAGUUAAUAGUUUCAAGGAAUUGUUGAGCUUUUUUUUUGUGAGCUUUUUUAUGUGUGGUAAAAUGAUAUUCCUAACUUGUGCUUUUUCAUACUUGUUUUAACUUUUUCUGGAAUAAAAUUGAGUAAUUUAGUUGUUUAGUCAAUGCAUGUGUCAUAAUUAGGAAUAUAGUUGUUUUGUUGAUAAAUUUCAUGUUUUUGGUUUGUUUUGCAGUUUUAGGUUAUAAUUGAUACUUAAUCUAAUGAAUAAUGGUUAUGUAGGUGAAACAAAAGGCCAAGGUCACUCAAAGUGGCUGAAAAAGGAUCUACGUCACAACGUGGAAAGAUCUAUGGUUGCAACGUUACAGGUUGACUUGCCAAGCUAGUUGAUGACCAUGGACGUAGUCAUUACUAGGAAAGGAUUAUGGUCACAACCAUAUCACCUAUGAAGAUAUGAAGGGAAGAGCUUCAUGGCCAACGUUGUAGUGUGUAGAUUGACAAAGUCGAGAUGCUGAGACAUAUGAUCUUCAGAGGCAAUCCAACUAUGACUAAUGUCAUGAUGUGGAAGCUGGUGAGGUCGCAACGCUGAAUUACGAGGUCAAGAUGAGAAAGAUCGUGUGGUAGCAAACACAUUUUCGUCUACUAUUCUAAAAUGUUUUUUAGGCAUUACAAAAGGAUAUUAGUAAGACCAUUGGGUUGACAAUAGAUUAGUUCAAACCUAUAUUGAAGAAUGUAGUUUCUUUUAUUAAGGCCGACUGUUUAUCUAGAAAUAUCAUGUAACAUCUCGUUCGGUGAGGUCCUAGUGUUCGAAUACUGUUCAUUGGAGUACGAUGUUUAGAGCGAGUGCACCUUUGGGCGAAGUCUAUAUUGGGUGAGCUUGGUGGUUUGGCGGAUUCCCCUGUAGACGUCACCCCAAUUAAUAGAUAAUUAUGUUAAGUCUUUAGUUGAAGAACUAUUUAUUAUUUAAAUAUUAUAUUAUUAAUCUGGUUGAAAAUUUUAGUUAGGCAAAUGAGAAUUGGUUAGAAUAGACUAAGUUACUGUAGUCGAUAAGAUUCGCAUUUAUGAUGAGAGAGAAAGUGCUUAGUCAAAGGAAUCAAGAGAGUUUAGUAGGAUAAUCAGACUUAUCCACUAAACCCAGCUUCCAUGUAUAGUUGCAUAAGGUUAGUAUUGGUUCAUUGAGCAAAUUUUAUAUUUUCUCUUGCACCCAUACUUUCUUUUUAAACUUUCUCUACAGUUUUCUCUAGGAAAAACCUUGGACAAAAAGCCUACAUGAAGAUUUGGGUUCGCUAUAUUCAACUAACUCCUUAGUUGUUUUAGCAUCUGGUAAAUAUCGAUGAACCUUAGGUUAUUUCAUGGUUAUUUACAUGACCUUUGAGCUACACGCUUUAGCGUCAGUUUUGAGUGUAAGGAAGGACACGUCCUGAAUCUUGGUUUUGUGAUGAUGUUACUUACAAGCUUGUUUAGUUUUCUGGUAUACAAUCUGAUAAGUUUAACUAUUUAUAUUACAACUCAAUACACUCCUGAAGGUUCUUGCAAUAAGGGCAAAAGUCCUGUUGUUUGAAGUUGAUGCACUUUCUAGUGAGUUCCUUCUUACUUCAUGUGUGGGUAAUGUAUUAAUAUUCUGUGAAGAUGAAAUAUUUGUGCAAGAGUGAUGUAUGCUUGUUGCUAUUAGUCUGGUUCGGUCUAUCUGUGUUAAAGAUGUAAGAACCUUUCUUCGUGUUUACACCACUACCCCUUGCUUCUAAAAUGAAUACUAUGAUCUGAAACAUGGAGAUGAAUUCAUUGCAUUGCCUUCAAUCAUGACACAUGAAAAUAGUCAUGUAGCCUCUGGUAGGGAAAGUAUGGUUGCAAACCAGAUUGACAAAUCAUGACAAAAAGGAAAAUGAAUGAAUGAAUGAUAUGACUCUAAAUAUGGACUAGGGUUGUGGCUAACAAAAAGAAAGUGGUAUGUAUGAUUCCAUAGGCGUAAUGUACGUGGCAAAGGGGUAGUGUUUUGCGUACAGUCUGUUUGUGUUUGGUACUUGCCAUCUGGCGAACUAUAACUAUACUGAGAUGGAAAGAUUUACUUGAAUGAUAUGUGAUUGUUGCAAUGUGUUCCUUUGGAACUCAUUAAGUUCUUGGAACUUACCUAGUACCUUUCCUUCUCAAGCGUGCUGAAGAAGUAAAUGAAUCCCUAAAUGCUACGCCAAACGACUAUCAUCGAUAUGAGACUUAUUACAUUUUCUAUUAUGUAGGACAUAGGGGUGGUGUCAAGACAUUUACAUUUUGAAAAUUGUAUUUUGUAUCUAAACUCAUGAUCAUGAACCUAUAAUUUUAAUGAAAUUUUAGUGAAUUAUUUAUGGUUUUCAAAGGGUACUAUCUUAUUUAUUCUUGAAUGAUAAAUAGUUUAUAAUUUAUACCAAUUUAAACGAUUUUAAAUUGGUUUACGCCAUUUAAAUUUUUAAAGGUAAUGAUUUUAAGGUAGUGAUGCGUCAUUCCUAAAUCCUCCUUAAGGAUUGGGUUUGGAGUGCUACAUGUUUGGUGUUAGAGCUAAUGUUUAGCCGAUUCUAAAAAAAAUCGAAGGCAAUGUCCCAUCCCUAUCAUGCAUAGUACACAUUUCGCUUAAUCUCUAAUGUUUUGUACUAAGAUAACACUUCUUUAGUAAUGAGUAAAAAAAUGUAUAAUAGCUCUAGAAAAUGCAUUAGUGAUGAGAUAGAAAGUCAUGUCCCCACGCAAGAACAGGCUACCAUGGUCAACAAUAACAACACAUGAAAUCCAGGAAAUGCAUUUAGAAAUAUGUUCUUUGCAAUGAUGACUCUAUUGUUUAACCAAUUCAUGGAAAAUGAAUAAGGUCAACAACCACAACACUCUCCUCAACCACAACUUGAAGUAGCUCGCCCAGCUCAGCCUACUCCACUUGUGCCUACUACGACUACCCUUAAGUAUGAUCCUAUUUGAGAAAUUCGAAAAAGAGGCACUAAAGAAUUCCUUAGUGAUAAAAAAAAUGACCCUACUGUAGCUGAGCAAUGGUUGUCUCAAUUGUGUAGAGUUCUUAAGGAACUAAAAUGUAACCAUGAAGAUAGUGUUCGAUGUGUUGUAUCAUUGUUGGAAGGAGAAGCUUACCAAAGGUGGGAAACCUUGGUUAUUGUUACCUUAAAACCAAUGAUCGACUAGGAUUUCUUCCUAGAAAAGUUUAGAGAGAGAUAUGUCAAUUAAAUGUUCGUAGAACAAAUGAAGAAUGACUUCUUGUAUUUGAAACAAUGAAGAAUAUUUGAUAUGGAGUAUGAGCAUGAUUUCCCCUAACUCAGUUGUUACGCUAAAAAUAGUUCUAGACAAAAAAGGAAAUGUACGACAAAUUUGAAUGAGGACUCAGAGAUGAAAUUCGAGCUUUGGUGGCAACUUCUAAUGCAACACUCUGACAGAAAUGUCAGUUAUGGCCCACAAGAUGGAAUCAACUAUCAUAGAUAGAAGCAAAAAAUUUGAGAAAGAAAGAAUGGAAAGAGCAGAUCAAGUCCUCCACAUACAUCCAAUUUUAAGAAACCGAAGGACCACACCUUUUCAGCUUCAAGGAAAGAUACACAGUUCAUUAGAUACAAAUGUGAGGGAUUUAACAAGUCAGUUGUGUCUAUGGCGAGUCCUAAAUGUUGUCUUAUGCACAUUAGCCUCUUUAACUCUCAACUGGUGAUACCCUGACUGUAGAUCAGUCUUAGAGAAAAUCGAAACUCCUCGAAACUGGUCAAAAAGAUCAUCUAUCCUCGAUAGAUGGUACUUAUUCUUGAUGGUCAGCUUGUUCAGUUGACGGUAGUCAAUACACAUACGCAUGGAUCCAUCCUUCUUUUUCACAAACAGUAUAGGUGCUCCCCAUGGAGACACACUAGGAAGGAUGAACCCAU